rnacentral:lncRNA from 1 species
UGACACUUCAUGGAGUUCCCACGUCCAUUAUAUCAGACAGAGGAGCUCAAUUUACAGCCAACUUUUGGAGAUCGUUUCAGAAGGGAUUGGGGACACAGGUGAACCCUAGCACAACAUUUCACCCUCAGACUGAUGGGCAGGCUGAGCGUACUAUUCAGACAUUAGAAGAUAUGUUGCGGGCCUGUAUUAUUGACUUCAAAGGUAGCUGGGAUGACCACUUGCCACUCAUUGAGUUUGCCUAUAAUAAUAGCUACCAUUCUAGUAUCCAAAUGGCACCGUACGAGGCCUUAUAUGGGAGGAAGUGCAGGUCACCUAUUGGUUGGUUUGAUUUUGGCGAGACUAAGUUAAUAGGCCCGAAUAUGAUUCAGCAAGAUGUUGACAAGGUGAAGCUUAUUCAAGAAAGAUUAUUAGCAGCCCAGAGUCGACAGAAGUCAUAUGCAGAUAAUCGGCGUCGAGAUCUGGAGUUUCAGAUUGGUGAUUGGGUAUUCCUGAAGGUAUCACCCAUGAGGGGUGUGAUGAGAUUCGGCAGGAAGGGGAAGCUCAGUCCAAGAUACAUUGGGCCUUAUCAUAUUGUUCGUAGGAUAAGCAAGGUUGCCUAUGAGUUGGAUCUACCAUCUGAUUUGGAGACGGUACAUCCAGUCUUCCAUGUAUCGAUGCUACGUAAAUGUAUUGGUUAUCCUUCUAGAGUAUUCCCCGUAGAUGAUGUUCAGGUAACAGAGGAGUUGUCAUAUGAGGAAAAACCCGUAGCUAUACUUGAUCGCCAGGUUAGAAGGUUACGUACUAAGGAUGUGGCUUCCGUCAAAGUGUUGUGGCAAAAUAACAAUAGGGAGGAGAUGACUUGGGAAGCGAAAGACGAAAUGAAGAAUAAGUAUCCUUAAUUGUUCCCCGUAACUGCAGGUAAUUCAAUUCCUAGCUUGACUAUAUUGAUUGAUAAGCGAGAUUAUGUAGUAAGUUGUGACUCUGUGAGGCAUCUGUACGUUACGAAAUGUAGGUUGAUAGAUAUAACUGUUAGAGAGACCUCGCUGGAAUUUGUUUUUGUAAGACGCUAACUUAACAUUCGAGGACGAAUGUUCCUAAGGGGGGAAGGAUGUUAUGCCUCGUAUUUUUUGUACGUAGUGCGCAUCAUGAUCUAGUAGACGUAAGUCCGGGGAAUGAGAUUUUAUUUUAAGUUCCAAGUGAUUAAAGAAAUAUUAGGCAAGGAUGUUAAUUCCAAAUGUGAUAUUAAGUAUGAGUUGGCUAAUGUAAGUGCCAUUAACUUUAAGUGAGGGAUUAAUUAGUGACUGAGUAGGAUUAAUUUAAUCCAAUGGGCCCCACCACUCAUAAUUGGUGGCUGAUUAGGAUUAAUUUAAUCCAGUGGGCCCCACCACUCAAGGCAAAAAUUAAAAAAGGGAUCAGAUUGUGAGCUGGCCUUAGAGGACAGGUGUAGAGGGGGGCUGCCUCCACUUCAUACUAUUAAAUGAGGUGGAGAAAUUCACUCCAUGCUAAAUAAAGUGGUGAAAUGCAUUGCUGCAUAUCUUCUUCUUCACCACUUGUCUUAGGCAGCCAUGGAAAUGGAGAAACCAACCCUGCAACUCUUGGCCAUCAGCUGCAAAUAAUUUGGUUAGUAAUCUCCUUGUUUGGUGUGUUAAUUCUUUAGAAUACCUUUGUUAAUUAUCCAUUAAUUUUAAGAAGGGGGUGUGACCAGUAGCUUAGGAAGUUUGUUUUAGUUAUUGAAUGUGCUAAGUAUGAACGGAAACCAUAAUCGGAUUAUUAGUGGUGUCGUGUUGGUGCUUGGGGUUAGAUUUGGCAAGAAGAGGAAAUUAAUGUGGGCAAACUGCUAUGAAAAACUCCUAGAGAUGGAUCUAUGUUGAAGAAGUAGAUCCAUUAUUCCUUUAAAAAUUAUAAGGUGUAUUUGAAAUGUGUUUCAAGAAAUAAGGGGCAACAUGGGAGGCUGAGGCCGAUGAAGCGUUAAGAUAUUAUGAUUGAAGUUUCAUGAUUUUUGGUGAAGUCUUGCAAAAAUGUGGGUUGCAUUAGUGUAGCCUUUGCCUAUUAUGACUAGAUUCUUAGUGAGUUAUUGGAAACUCCAUGAGAUUAGGUGGAAGGGUUAAUAACAUGUUGUUAUAUCGGUGAUCUUGAGUCCAUUAUUCCUAUUAACGAUCCUCGAUUUCAAGGACGUCGAACCUAGUUCAAGUGUGCCUUAGCCUAUUUUAGAAGGAGGAAAUCCUCAACAAGUUCGAAAGGACUAAAGACCUUGACCUGCAAGUUGAUGUAAACACUGCCUGUGUUUAUCGACGAGAUGAAGGCAAUGAUUGUGUAUGGAUCGACGGUUUGUCAUUGACAACCGUGGAUCAUACAUAGAGAAAUGGAGAAAGCCUCCGCCUGCAACAGUCUCUGACCAAGACGAUGGUUGUGCAGGACAGAGGGGGUACCAACCGUCGACUCACAGACGGCCCGUCGACUGGGUUCCGUUUGUGAGUGUCAAUGUUUUCCUGCAUGUUUUAAUAUUUUUCAUUUAAUUAGUUGAGGGGUUAGGAGGUUAAUUAGGGUUUAAGUGAGUCUAACUAAGUUAAUUAGUGUUAUGCCUCAUAUUUUUUUUAUACAUAGUGCGCAUCGUGAUCUAGAAGACGUAAAUAAAUAUUAGGCAAGGAUGUUAUUUCCAAAUGUGAUAUUAAGUAUGAGUUGGCUAAUGUAAGUGCCAUUAACUUUAAGUGAGGGAUUAAUUAGUGGCUAAUUUGGAUUGAUUUAAUCCAAUGGGCCCCACCACUCAAGGCAAAAAUUAAAAAGGGAUCAGAUUGUGGGCUGACCUUAGUGGACAGGUGUAGAGGGGGGCUGCCUCCACUUCAUACUAUUAAAUGAGGUGGAGAAAUCCACUCCAUGCUAUAUAAAGUGGUGAAAUGCAUUGCUGCAUAUCAUCUUCUUCUUCACCACUUGUCUUAGGCAGCCAUGGAAAUGAGAAACCAACCCUGCAACUCUUGGCCAGCAGCUGCAAAUAAUUUGGUUAGUAAUCUCCUUGUUUGGUGUUAAUUCUUUAGAAUACCCUUGUUAAUUAUCCAUUAAUUUUAAGAAGGGGGCGUGACCAGUAGCUUAGGAAGUUUGUUUUAGUUAUUGAAUGUGCUGAGUAUGAAUGGAAACCAUAACCGGAUUAUUAGUGGUGUCGUGUUGGUGCUUGGGCUGUUUUGAUUAAAGCAAACUGCAGGAAAAUUCUGUUUUGGCAUUAUGUAUAUGUUGAAUGUGAUUAUGAGUAUAUACUCCAAAGGAUGAAUACGAUAAGGUAGAUGUGUUGCGAAUUAUAAAACGAGUUAUCGCUCGGUGUGUCGUUGCUUCGCUGCUAUAGUUGCCGAGAUGGAACUGUUUUGGGGAGGGGGCUGUUUAAUAUGAUUCUUUGGGUUACAUGUGUUAUUGGUAUUGCUGUGGAUAAUUUGGAUUGUUGUCGGAUUGGGACGAAGUAAGGAAAAUAGGGGAGGUGCUGCCGAAUUUUCGUUAGAUUAUUAGCUAGCUUACAAGAAAGUAAAGCACGAUGUUUAUCUAAUUGCGGCACGAUUGUUGCUUGUUAUAGAUUAAUAGCUUGAGCAGUAAAUAUUGGACGUGCGGCUCGAUUAUACGGUAUGUAACGCUGUCCCUUCUUUCUUUGCUUGGCAUGACUUUUAAAAAUAAGCGAAUAACGGACAGAUUUGAUACUUACCUCUAAAGCGUCUAGGUGAUGUAUAUUCUUGCUUCCACAAUUAUUCCUCUAUAUAUCGGCUAUGUCUAAGGCUAUGAUGAUCUCUAAUAUCUAUGGUAAUGCUUCUUAGAGUCAUUGAGAUUUUACGUUUCCAUAUCGUAUUAAAGGUUCAUAAUCUUGAUAAAACAUUAAUCUUUGGUAAUACUCCUUGCUGGUUCACGUUGAUUGUUCUAUUGAGUUAUAAGGAAUGAUUUUAAUUGCAUAUGGUUGCUCAUAAUAUUCUGCUCGUGCAUAGAGUCAUUUAUCAUUUCACCGAGUCCCGGGCCGGGUAAUGUUCGUGCGGAGUUUCUUGCAUAUGUCACCGAGUUCCUCACUAGAGGGCCGGGUAUGUAUAUUAUAUAUAUGAUUGGUGAUGAGGAUGGUUAUGAUGAUGAUGAUGACGGAGAUGACGUGAUGAUUAUUUUGCCGAGCCCCUUACUAGGGAAGCUGGGCACCUUAAAUGUUAAAUAUAUGCAUGAUUUUCACUUAAAAAGUAUAUGUGUAGCGAUAUUUUGUUUCGACUUGCCACAUUGGUAUCCUGUCAUCUUUACCUUAUGCUUUACAUACUCAGUACAUUGUCCGUACUGACCCCCCUUUCCUCGGGGGGCUGCGUUUCAUGCCCGCAGGUGUAGACGCGCAAUUCGGUGAUCCUCCCGCCUAGGAUAUCUACUCUGCUGAUUGGGAGAGCUCCACUGUUCCGGAGCCCAGUCAUUUUGGUACAUAACUUUUGUGUAGUCUUUUGCUCGUCUAUGGGUAUGGCGGGGCCCUGUCCCAUCGAGUUUCACUAAUGUACUCUUAGAGGUCUGUGGACAUUAUGUGGGUUGUAUAUAUAUGUUUUGGAUAAUGGUCUGGACAUGGUUUGUUUGGGAUGUCCGCUUGUACAGGGGCAGCCUUGUCGGCUGCGUACAUCAUUAUGCUUUGAAUAGUGGCGGCCUUGUCGGCUCGCGUAUGCUGUUAUGGUUGAAUGGUUAUGACUCCUUAUGAGACAGGUCCUCUUAUAUAUAUAUGACGUUGGGGUUGGCUUGAUUUGAUUAAAUUCCAUAUUGUCUUAGUUUCAGUUGGUCAUACUUAGCAGGUUUGUAUGUGGGUGUCCAAAACGGGCACUAAUCACGGCCUAUUGGGUUGGGUCGUGACAAAGAGUGGUAUCAGAGCGGUUCUUCCUCGGAAGUGUCUACAGACCGUGUCUAGUAGAGUCUUUUUUAUUGGUGUGUUGUGCACCACAUCUAUAAACAGGAAGCUACAGGACAUUUAGGAUGUCAUUCUUUCUUCUUAUUCUAGAUCGUGCGAUAGAGCUAUAUUAACAGGAUAAUCCCUCUCUAACGAAUCCGUGUGUUUUCAGCUAUGCCUCCAAAGAAAGCGACAGCCGCCCAGAAGGGAAAAUCGGUAGAAGAAGGUACUAGUCAGACCCGGAGAGUUACUCGGGCCCGUGCCCAGUCUAUGCCGGUAUUAUGCUCCAGUUGGAGAGCUCUGCUACACCCCCACCGCCAGAAGAGCUUAGAGCAGCAGCAGCUCCAGUUCGGGGGACACCACCAGCCCCCGAGGCCCCAACAUCUGAACCUCCAGCUCCUCAGUCAGGGGCGGAGGAUAGGGCCAUGAGAGAUGCGGUUCAAUUGCUGACUAGAUUAGUGGCAGAUCAGGCUCGCAGGCAUGGACUAGGAGUUGAUCAUGCGGACAGAUCUGAUAGCUUAAGGGCUCGUGACUUCUUAAGUUGUAAUCCUCCAGAGUUCUUUGGGUCAAGGCCACAGGAUGAUCCGCAAGAGUUUAUUCGUCAGAUGCAGCGUACAUUGAGGAUAAUCAAGGCUUCAGAGACCGAGUCUGUUGGGUUGGCUACGUAUCGUUUGCGGGAUGUAGCUAUUAAUUGGUAUGAGUCUUGGGAGUUAUCUAGGGGUGAGGGUGCCCCUCCAGCGGUAUGGGAUGAAUUUGUGGAGGCUUUCCAGGGCCACUUCCUGCCUCCAGAGAUGAAGCGAGCUAGAGUCGAUAAAUUCUUGCGUUUGAAGCAAAAUGGCAGGAGCGUUCGAGAGUAUAGCCUCGAGUUUGAUUCAUUGGCUAGGCAUGCGCCUUCUAUUGUGGCUGAUAUGGCAGACAGGGUACAUCGUUAUGUGAUGGGAUUGGAUCGUUAUCUGAUUGACGGUUGUAUGGCAGUGACUCUUCAGCCAGGUAUGGACAUUGCUCGGGUGCAGGCAUAUGCACAGGGGGUAGAGGAUCGGCACCGGGGACGUCAGCCAGAUAGAGAUUAUAAUAGUGGCCAGCAUAAGAGGGCUAGAUCAGCAGGUUAUCCUGACGAGUUUCAAAGCGGGCAGUCUCAGCAGCAUGUUAGAUUUUCUUCCCAGCCAGCACAGAGUGCCCCCACGUUUCAUGGGUAGGGGGUUCGAUCGUAUGGGAUAUUCGGAACCUGGUCAGAGCUCUAGGGCGUCAGGGUCACAGAUGGGCAGGGGUUUGAGCCAGUCGAGGCCACUUUUCCUCGGUUUUCUCGUUGUGGUAAGUCUCAUCCUGGGGAAUGUCGUUGGGCUACAGGUGCGUGUUUUUCUUGCGGCCGUCAGGGCCAUACUAUGAGGGAGUGUCACCUUAGAGGUAGUGCAGGUUGUAAGGCACAGCCUACAGGGUCCGUUGCUGGUUCAUCUUCUUCUGUGGCUAUGCGCCCUACGGGGCAGGGUAUUCAGGCACCACCAGGCCGUGGUAGAGGACGUGGUGGAGCUUCCAGUUCUAGUGGUCCCUCAAACCGUAUAUAUGCUUUGACUAAUAGGCAAGAUCAAGAGGCGUCACCUAAUGUGAUCACAGGUAUAUUAUCACUAUUCUCCCGAAGUGUGUAUGCAUUGAUAGACCCAGGUUCCACCUUAUCAUAUAUAUCUCCCUUUUUUGCUAGUAGGAUCGGAAUAGAGUCUGAGUUGAUAGAACCAUUUGAGGUAGCUACACCUGUAGGAGAUUUUGUCAUAGCUACGCGAGUAUAUAGGAAUUGUUCAGUAGCUAUAUAUAGUCAUCAUACCGUAGCAGAUCUAAUAGAGUUAAAUAUGAUUGAGUUUGAUAUUAUCAUGGGCAUGGAUUGGUUGGCUGCUUGUUAUGCUAAUGUUGAUUGCAGAGGAAAGAUAGUUCGAUUUCAAUUUCCAGGGGAACCGAUUAUAGAGUGGAAGGGAAGUACAGUAUCGCCGAAAGGUAAGUUCAUUUCAUACCUCAAGGCCGGGAAGAUGGUUAGAAAAGGCUAUAUUUACCAUCUGAUUCGGGUGCAUGACAUAAAGGCAGAGGCACCGACUCUUCAAUCAGUCCCGGUAGUUAAUGAAUUUCUUGAUGUAUUCCCCGAGGAACUUCCAGGCCUUCCUCCAGAAUGGGAGAUAGAGUUUACUAUAGAUGUACUGCCAGAUACCCAGCCUAUAUCUAUACCUCCUUAUAGAAUGGCACCUGCUGAGUUGAAAGAAUUGAAAGAGCAAUUGAGGGAUUUGCUAGAAAAGGGCUUCAUCAGGCCUAGUACGUCACCUUGGGGAGCACCAGUACUGUUUGUGAGGAAGAAGGAUGGGUCGCUGCGGAUGUGCAUUGAUUAUAGGCAGUUGAACAAAGUAACAAUAAAGAACAGGUAUCACCUCCCAAGGAUUGACGAUCUAUUUGACCAGUUGCAGGGUGCAAAUGUUUUUCAAAGAUAGACUUGCGGUCAGGUUAUCAUCAGGUGCGGGUAAGGGAGGCAGAUAUUCCAAAGACAGCAUUCCGUACCCGAUAUGGGCAUUAUGAGUUUAGAGUGCUGUCUUUUGGGCUGACUAAUGCUCCAGCGGUGUUCAUGGAUUUAAUGAAUAGAGUAUUUAAACCAUUCCUUGAUAUGUUUGUUAUUGUAUUUAUAGACGAUAUUCUGGUCUAUUCACGUUCAGAAGAGGAGCAUGCAGAUCAUUUAAGGAUGGUACUUAGGGUGCUUCAGCACCAGAAGUUGUAUGCUAAAUUUUCUAAGUGCGAGUUCUGGUUGACUUCAGUGGCAUUCUUGGGGCAUAUUAUUGGAGCUGAUGGUAUUCGGGUAGAUACGCAGAAGAUUGAGGCAGUAAAGACUUGGCUUAGACCUACGACACCUACUGAGGUACGCAGCUUUUUGGGGUUAGCAGGAUAUUACAGGAGAUUCGUAGAAAAGUUUUCCUCAAUUUCAGUGCCUUUGACAAGGCUAACUCAAAAGGCAGCCAAGUUCCAGUGGACAGAUGCUUGUGAGCGAAGCUUCCAGCUAUUGAAAGACAAAUUGACUACAGCUCCAGUCCUAACUCUUCCAGAGGGACCAGAUGGCUAUGUUAUUUAUUGUGAUGCUUCGGGUGUUGGGCUAGGAUGUGUAUUGAUGCAGCAUGGCAAAGUUAUAGCCUAUGUCACCCGACAACUUAGGAAGCAUGAAAAGAACUAUCCUACUCACGAUCUGGAGUUAGCGGUCGUGGUUCAUGCCUUGAAGAUAUGGAGACAUUAUUUAUAUGGUUUCCAUGUGGACAUCUAUACAGAUCAUAAGAGUCUCCAAUAUAUCUUUAAACAGAAGGAGCUGAACUUACGACAGAGGCGGUGGUUAGAGUUGCUAAAGGAUUAUGAUGUUUAUAUUUUAUAUCAUCCAGGGAAAGCGAAUGUUGUAGCAGAUGCUCUUAGCCGUAAGUCCAUGGGUAGCUUGACAGAUGUACAACCAUAAGGGAGGGAUAUGGUUCGGGAGAUUCAGCGCCUAUCCAGCCUUGGAGUCCGUCUAGCUAAUUCGGAAGAUAGUGGAGUUUCUAUUCGAGAGGUUGCUGAGUCCUCAAUCAUAGAUGAGGUAAAAAGACACCAAUACAAGGACCCUAUUCUGGCACAGUAUAGAGAUGCAGCUCUUCAAAAGGAAAAGACCCCAUUUAAGGUUACACCUGAUGGAGUGUUACGAUAUGAAGGCAGAUUGUGUGUACCCGAUACUGCGGGGCUACGACGGCAAGUUAUGGGAGAGGCACACUCUGCCCGUUAUUCUAUUCACCCAAGGUCAACAAAAAUGUAUCAUGACCUCAGAUGCUUAUAUUGGUGGGAUGGCAUGAAAAAGGACAUAGCAGAGUUUGUUGCUCAGUGCCCAAAUUGUCAACAAGUCAAGAUCGAACAUCAAAAGCCUGGUGGAUUAUUACAGGAGAUAGAGAUCCCGACUUGGAAAUGGGAGAUGAUUAAUAUGGACUUCAUUACAAGCUUACCUCGCACUCAACGGAAGUAUGACUCUAUAUGGGUUAUUGUAGAUAGGCUGACGAAAUCGGCCCAUUUUCUUCCAGUCAGGACUACUUAUUCGGCUGAAGAUUAUGCGAGGUUAUAUGUCAGGGAGAUAGUGAGACUUCAUGGGGUUCCCACGUCCAUUAUAUCAGACAGAGGAGCUCAAUUUACAGCCAACUUUUGGAGAUCGUUUCAGAAGGGAUUGGGGACACAGGUGAACCUUAGCACAACAUUUCACCCUCAGACUGAUGGGCAGGCUGAGCGUACUAUUCAGACACUAGAAGAUAUGUUGCGGGCCUGUAUUAUUGACUUCAAAGGCAGCUGGGAUGACCACUUGCCGCUCAUUUAAUUUGCCUACAAUAAUAGCUACCAUUCUAGUAUCCAGAUGGCACCGUACGAGGCCUUAUAUGGGAGGAAGUGCAGAUCACCUAUUGGUUGGUUUGAUGUUGGCGAGACUAAGUUAAUAGGCCCGGAUGUGAUUCAGCAAGUUGUUGACAAGGUGAAGCUUAUUCAAGAAAGAUUAUUAGCAGCCCAGAGUCGACAGAAGUCAUAUGCAGAUAAUCGGCGUCGAGAUUUGGAGUUUCAGAUUGGUGACUGGGUAAUCCUGAAUAUAUCACCCAUGAGGGUUGUGAUGAGAUUCGGCAGGAAGGGGAAGCUCAGUCCGAGAUACAUUGGGCCUUAUCAGAUUGUUCGUAGGAUAGGCAAGGUUGCCUAUGAGUUGGAUCCACCAUCUGAUUUGGAGGCGGUACAUCCAGUCUUCCAUGUAUCGAUGCUACGUAAAUGUAUUGGUGAUCCUUCUAGAGUAUUCCCUGUAGAUGAUAUUCAGGUAACAGAGGAGUUGUCAUAUGAGGAGAAACCCGUGGCUAUACUUGAUCGUCAGGUUAGAAGGUUACGUACUAAGGAUGUGGCUUCCGUCAAAGUGUUGUGGCAAAAUAACAAAAGGGAGGAGAUGACUUGGGAAGCGGAAGACGAAAUGAAGAAUAAGUAUCCUUACUUGUUCCCCGUACCUGCAGGUAAUUCAAUUCCUAGCUUGACUAUAUUGAUAGAUAAUGAGAUUAUGUAGCUGUGAGGCAUCUGUAAGUUACGGAAUGCAGGUUGAUAGGUAUAACUUUUAGAGAGACCUCGCUAGAAUUUGUUUUUGCAAGACGCUAACUUAACAUUCGAGGACGAAUGUUCCUAAGGGGGGAAGGAUGUUAUGCCUCGUAUUUUUUUAUACGUAGUGCGCAUCGUGAUCUAGAAGACGUAAAGAAAUAUUAGGCAAGGAUGUUAUUUCCAAAUGUGAUAUUAAGUAUGAGUUGGCUAAUGUAAGUGCCAUUAACUUUAAGUGAGGGAUUAAUUAGUGGCUAAUUUGGAUUGAUUUAAUCCAAUGGGCCCCACCACUCAAGUCAAAAAUUAAAAAGGGAUCAGAUUGUGGGCUUGCCUUAAUGGACAGGUGUAGAGGGGGGCUGCCUCCACUUCAUACUAUUAAAUGAGGUGGAGAAAUCCACUCCAUGCUAUAUAAAGUGGUGAAAUGCAUUGCCGCAUAUCAUCUUCUUCUUCACCACUUGUCUUAGGCAGCCAUAGAAAUGGAGAAACCAACCCUGCAACUCUUGGCCAGCAGCUGCAAAUAAUUUGGUCAGUAAUCUCCUUGUUUGGUGUGUUAAUUCUUUAGAAUAUCCUUGUUAAUUAUCCAUUAAUUUUAAGAAGGGCGCGUGACCAGUAGCUUAGGAAGUUUGUUUUAGUUAUUGAAUGUGCUGAGUAUGAAUGAAAACCAUAAUCGGAUUAUUAGUGGUGUCGUGUUGGUGCUUGGGCUGUUUUGAUUAAAGCAAACUGCAGGAAAAUUCUGUUUUGGCAUUAUGUAUAUGUUGAAUGUGAUUAUGAGUAUAUACUCCAAAGGAUGAAUACGAUAAGGUAGAUGUGUUGCGAAUUAUAAAACGAGUUAUCGCUUGGUGUGUCGUUUCUUCGCUGCUAUAGUUGCCGAGAUGGAACUGUUUUGGGGAGGGGGCUGCUUAAUAUGAUUCUUUGGGUUAUAUGUGUUAUUGGUAUUGCUGUGGAUAAUUUGGAUUGUUGUCGGAUUGGGACGAAGUAAGGAAAAUAGGGGAGGUGCUGCCGAAUUUUCGUUAGAUUAUUAGCUAGCUUACAAGAAAGUAAAGCACGAUGUUUAUCUAAUUGCGGCACGAUUGUUGCUUGUUAUAGAUUAAUAGCUUGAGCAGUAAAUAUUGGACGUGCGGCUCGAUUAUACGGUAUGUAACGCUGUCCCUUCUUUCUUUGCUUGGCAUGACUUUUAAAAAUAAGCGAAUAACAGACAGAUUUGAUACUUACCUCUAAAGCGUCUAGGUGAUGUAUAUUCUUGCUUCCUCAAUUAUUCCUCUAUAUAUCGGCUAUGUCUAAGGCUAUGAUGAUCUCUAAUAUCUAUGGUAAUGCUUCUUAGAGUCAUUGAGGUUUUACGUUUCCAUAUCGUAUUAAAGGUUCAUAAUCUUGAUAAAACAUUAAUCUUUGGUAAUACUCCUUGCUGGUUCACGGUUAUUGUUCUAUUGAGUUAUAAGAAAUGAUUUUAAUUGCAUAUGGUUGCUCAUAAUAUUCUUCUCGUGCAUAGAGUGAUUUAUCAUUUCACCGAGUCCCGGGCCGGGUAAUGUUCGUGCGGAGUUUCUUGCAUAUGUCACCGAGUUCCUCACUAGAGGGCCGGGUAUGUAUAUUAUAUAUAUGAUUGGUGAUGAGGAUGGUUAUGAUGAUGAUGAUGACGGAGAUGACGUGAUGAUUAUUUUGCCGAGCCCCUUACUAGGGAAGCUGGGCACCUUAAAUGUUAAAUAUAUGCAUGAUUUUCACUUAAAAAGUAUAUGUGUAGCGAUAUUUUGUUUCGACUUGCCACAUUGGUAUCCUGUCAUCUUUACCUUAUGCUUUACAUACUCAGUACAUUGUCCGUACUGACCCCCCUUUCCUCGGGGGGCUGCGUUUCAUGCCCGCAGGUGUAGACGCGCAGUUCGGUGAUCCUCCCGCCUAGGAUAUCUACUCUGCUGAUUGGGAGAGCUCCACUAUUCCGGAGCCCAGUCAUUUUGGUACAUAACUUUUGUGUAGUCUUUUGCUCGUCUAUGGGUAUGGCGGGGCCCUGUCCCGUCGAGUUUCACUAAUGUACUCUUUGAGGUCUGUGGACAUUAUGUGAGUUGUAUAUAUAUGUUUUGGAUAAUGGUCUGGACAUGGUUUGUUUGGGAUGUCCGCUUGUACAGGGGCAGCCUUGUCGGCUGCGUACAUCAUUAUGCUUUGUAUAGUGGCGGCCUUGUCAGCUCGCGUAUGCUGUUAUGGUUGAAUGGUUAUGACUCCUUAUGAGACAGGUCCUCUUAUAUAUAUAUGACGUUGGGGUUGGCUUGAUUUGAUUAAAUUCCAUAUUGUCUUAGUUUCAGUUGGUCAUACUUAGCAGGUUUGUAUGUGGGUGUCCAAAACGGGCACUAAUCACGGCCUAUCGGGUUGGGUCGUGACAAUUAGCUUCCCCUGUAAAGACCCCAACCCUCAUUAAUCCAAACACAACUCACCAAAAUAAACUCUCUUUCUUCUCUCUUCUUUCUCUCUCUAUUUGGAAACCACCAUUGAAGACAAGUGAGGGGGUGUUUUGGGGGUUGGAAAGGGAUGAGUUCACCAUCAAAUCUUCAUCAAAUAAGUAUGUGAUAGAAUUCACCUUUGAGUUUUCUUUCCUCAAAGGACUCCUUCAAAGUAUUUCAAAAAGUUGAGUUUUCAUGUGGGUUUCAUCCAAUUACGAAAGUGAUGUCGUGAGCUGAGUUUUUUAUGAUUUCUUUAGGAUAUAAUGGAUAGAUUAACAUGUAUUUUAACUUGAUUAUGAUCAAUUGUGAUGGUUUGGCUCAUAUUGAAGAAUAUGAUCCUUAACCCUUAACCCUAGGUUUGAUCUUGAUGGAAAUUGAGUUGUGAUUCAUUCAAUUGUCUUGAAAAUGUGUUAAUUAUGGUUGUGAGGUUAAUUAAGAUGUAAAUUCUAGAAGGAUGGUGAUGUAUACCCAUGUGCCUUAUUAUGAAGUGAUAUGUAAUGUGUUAACCUCACCUACAUGAAUUGUGAUAAAAGGAUUUAUACUCAUACAAUUCUUAUUGAGCUAUUGAUGAUGAUGAUUAUACAAGGCUUAAAGACAUUUUAAAAAGGGACUCUAGCUUAGCACCGAGUGAACUAGAUUGAGGAGUGUCCCUUCCACAUAGGGAAGGUAGGAGCACUAAAUUACUCUUGAGAUUGGAGACUAUAAGGCAUGGAGCAUUAAGAGGAUUCCAAAUAUAUCUCCUAGUUCUUGAACUUUGUUGUCCUCAUAUGAGUACUAGCUAGUGGAUCCACGUAGUUGCUAUGUUUUAUGUUUUGGUACUAGCUUGCAAGUAGUCCGCCUUCUUUCGGUGUAGGGUUUCAUGACACCGGAUUCCACACUAGCUCAUGUGGUCUAUGCCUGUUAGGCCAAGAUAUUCCUAUAAGGUAAAAUGAAACAAGGGAUUUGAACUCUAACUUGGAUAACCUAAGGGGUCUAGCUUAGUAUAGGUAGGAGUAUGAGACUCUACCUAAGUAUUGCACUAGUUAGACUUGAGGGGAGUCUUAGGAGGAUGUUCUUAUAUAUGAUUAUGCUAUGAUAAUAUAUGAUAUGUACAUAAUGAACAUGCACAUUGUUCAUAAUAUAUGUUGAUUAGUUCACUUAUGAGAAUGGGUUGGGUUAUAUUGUUAAAAUAAGAUGAAAUGUAUAUCUAAAUGUUAUACUAUGUGGAGUUUGAUAUUGGUUAUGGUUUUCUUGUUGGGGAUACUUGAUUGAGUAAGAUUAUGGGGAUUUGCUUGGUCAUUACACUUGUUGUCUUGUUAAGGAUUCAUUAGUAGUUGUCUUGCUUAUUAUGAUAAAAUUGACUCUUAGUCAUGCUUUUGAUGUAUCCUUGAUGAUAGGGUUGUAAUAAAUUAUGGGUUCAAGUAUGUUGGGAUACAUAUUACUUGUUUGAGUUAGUAAGCAUGUUGGUUGAUUGGUAUAACUUGCUUGAUUUUGCAUUAGACUUUUAAAAGGGUAAAAUGACAUGUUUUGACUAAAUGUUCCUUUUUAUCAUGUUUUGCUCUUAUAUGUGUAUAUGGUCUCAUACUUAGUACAUGUGGAGUACUAAGUCCAUUUUCUUCCUUUUUCCAAAUAUUUUAGGUUCUGGUCGUUUAAGGCUCAUCCGAGACGACUUGAAGAAGGCUUGGAUAUUCUCUAUCAUCCAAGUGGGAAGGCCCUUACUUUCUGAGGGUGAUGUCAAUAUCUUGCCUAUGAAGUUUCUUUGUUUUUCUAAUACUUCUAUGUUCAUACCACUUUCAUUGCGUACGACUUGUAUAAGCCUAUAUGUUGCUUCUUUACAUUUGAUGUAGAGCUAUGCCCAAAUUGUGAUGAUUGUUUAGAUGGUAUGAAAUGAGACAAUCUUUGUGACUAUCUUUCUAUCUUAUAUAUAUGUAUGUGUAAUAAGAGUUGAAGGCUAUGUAACUUUCCUAUACGAAGGAUCUAUGUAUGUAUACUCGAUACAUAUCUAUUAUGUGUAUGUAGAAGUCUAUAUAAACCUCCAAGUAGAUGAAAUGAAAAAUUUUAAGUUUUUCCGCAUUUUCAAUCUAUGAAUGUAAUGACAUGAGACUAAGAGGCUAGUCUUAGUCCUCAAAUAGGACGACGACGCUGGUAACAUCUAGAAGGGGUAAACCUUUUUUUUAUUGCAACACAUUGAUAGUCAGCUUUUACUCUUUAUUCCGAAACUUGAUAGCUCAUAAUUUCACUUCUUGUUGUCUUCAUCAGUUUGAAAAAGAUGAAAUUUUGGUACCAAAACAGACCUCAUGGUUUUGGUACUAUCCUGAUGUUUCCUUCAACACUGUUUCACCUGCUCAGAAGGUAAAUUAUAAACAUUUAUGCAUCACAUAAUCUCAUAUGUUUCUACAUAAUUCACUCUUUUAUGAUCAUAAGUCAAUCUAAAUUUCACUGUGAAAGUACACAGAACAUUUUAAAUGGGUCAUGUAAUCCCUGAUUUUUUUGAGGAUAUAUCCUGAUCUUUAGUUCAUUUGUGUAUAUUUGUAAAUUACUUCUUCGCCAUGGUAUCAGUUGUUAUUGUGUUUAGAGAGUUAGGCAUAUGAUCUGUUAUACAAUGCCGGGAUUGUUUUUCCUUUUAUUCUCUUUCAGAUAACCUUAGCUCUCUUUCUCUUCCCUUUUUCCUCCUUGCUAGCAAUGGAUUAUAAGCAUUGUUCUACUUUAACUACUAACAACUAUUUGAUCAAUUUCAAUGUUGGAAUUCAACUUCAAAGGCUCAUGCAUGACCUUCAAAAAAGUAAGCUGGAUUUCUCUUUUUCAUGGUUUGUGUGAUCACGUAUUUAAAAUCUGGUUGUCACAGAAGUUAGGAACUUAAAUUGAAAUAUUAUUUUGAAUCUACUACUAUUUCCUUUUAGACAACCAGACUUGACAAAUCCUUGUCAAAAAAAUUAUGGAUUUUCAAAAAUUAUUGUUAUGAUAGCAUUUUCAAGUGUUCUUAGCCUUCUUUGUUUGUAAAUUUGUAUUUAAGCUGAUCAUACUAAGGGAAAGGUGACUUAUUACUGCUAAGAAAGAAAUCAUAUAUUCUUAAUGUUUAUGCUAAUAUGGCCUUGCAUAUGCAUGUCCCAUGGUCAAGGGAAGUAUCAAAUACAUAUAUAUUUAUGUGUUUACCUGAAUUACAUCUGGUUUGACUUAACGGUGUGUUCCAUGGAAUAUGUUUAGUUUGCCAUCAUUUGGUUUCAAAUUUUGUUUGAUUUUUCCGUUUCUUGAGCAACAUGUGUUGAAAUAGGACUCUGAUUGCUGGAUGCGUUUCCAACAACACAAAUUGCUAUUUAUUAUUGCAGGAAAUGUAGCAUUCAAUAAGAAAAGUCUAAGAAGCCAUUGUUGCUACAGAUUGUUUGCACGGUAACAUUUGUGAUAUCCAAGUAUUUCUUUUAAAUUUAGUUGUAGAAAGUACUGAAAGGAUUCUAAUAAGGAUUUAAUGAAUAUUUUUUAUAAUUAUCUUAUGUAGGUUUCCAUUUUCUGAUUGGGAUUGUAUAUCAGCGGUGAUACGAUGAUGCAGGAUGAUAUGUCAAGGGAUAUUAAAAUCGUGGCCACAAGUCAAUUCAAUCAAUUGAAGUUCAUGCGACUUUUUGAAUAUUAAAAUGUUAAAUCAAGGGACAUUUUUGCUAUUGCUUCUUCAAAGUAAAUUGCAAUUAUAUGUUUUUUGUGUGUUAUUUAUUAGAUAAUCAAAGAGACAUCAAUAAUGUGGAUUAUUGAUAAAAUUACUUCAUUUACAGUAGUAAAGACUACACUUCAUAAAUGUUACUUUAGAUGAGUAUCAAAUGGAACGUUUGAAUUUGUGAUCAAAAAGGAAGCAAAGUCCACACAUAAAAAGUGUUGUUCCAGGUAAUAAAAAUGUUCUCAUAUAAGGUUCUAGAAGUGUGUCCUUAUUAUAAUAUAGAAUAGGGAACACUUUUUAAGAGUUGUGUAUAAGGAAAUAGUGUUGCCUUAUCAAAGGUUAUGGUGGCUUAGGCAACCCCUAUAACAGUGUUGUCUAAAGUCAAAAAGUGUGUCCUUUGCUAGUUUAGGGUACACUUUAUAGGGGUGGACGUGGGUCUAAAAUAGUGUAGUGAAAGGGAAAAACUUGAAAAAAGGUCUAGAGGAAAAUAGAGGUAUAGGCUUUUUGAUGAUAAUUCCUUCGAAGAAAGGUGGCAUGGGGCAAGAUCAUUCAAGGAAUAGACAAAGGUUUUAUGGAAAAAUCUCUCCUAAGGUUCCCCCAAAGUUUAAUCAAGAGAGUGUGGCUAGCCCUAAAUCUCAAGGACUGAGUAGUGGUAGAUCUUAUGUGUUUAGGACUACUUGUGAUAGGUAUGGAAAACGACAUGAUGGUAAGUGUCUAGCCGGCAUGAAGGGUUGCUAUAGUUGUGGUGAAAGUAGUCACUAAAUGAGAGAUUGCCCGAUUCUCAUGGCUAGAAGAAGAGAAUGGAAGCAAGCUCCUCCAAGUGGUUAGGGUACUAGUAUACCAAGGAAAGUGAAGUAUUAUGCACUUAUCUAUUCAUGUAACUUAGAGGGAUCUCCGGAUAAAUGUACCGGUAGGUUAAAAGUUUUCAUAGUGUAUAUGCUUUAUUAGAUCCCUGUACUACCUUAUCUUUUGUGAUGCCUCAUAUGGAAUUGAGAUUUGAUGUUCCCACGGAAGAGUUAUUAGAACCAUUUUCGGUUUAUACUGGCUAAGAGAGUGUAUAUAAGAUGUCCCAUUUGCCUAUACCAUAGAGUUACUCUUGUUAAAGUUGGUAGGAUUUGGAUGCAUUGUUAUUAAACCUCUAUUAGUUUUAGAACUUGAUAAGGUUAUUAUGAGUUUUGGUGAUGCUUUUGGGAUUGUGUGAAAUGAGUAUAAUUUGAGGUCUUAGUAACGGGCUUACUCCAAAGGGGAAUAGAUAUGCUUAGAUAGAAAGAUUGAUUGAGAGUCCCGAUAUACUCAUCCCUUUCUUCUAUUUUCGUUCUAGCUUGAGACCAAGAUUUCUUUUCAGUCUUGUUUUACGUCUUUGGAGUCAUGAGUGUUUUUGAAAUUUCCAUGAUCUCCUUAUUUUAUGCAUGUUUAUAAGAAAAUUUAUGUUUAGUACAGAAUGAGUGUUCCUAAUAUAUAUGUUCCUCAUGUGUCAUAAGAUGAUUUGAUGAACAUGCUUUGUAUUCUUUUGGUAAAAUUCCAUAUUGGCUCCAUAGUUGGAGAAGGUAGUUCCUCCUAAGAUUAUGUGAUGGAUGAUGCUGAGAAGAGUUUCUAUAGCCUUACUCCCAAUGUGGAAAAGGUGUAUCUAGGUAGAAAGGUUAUUAUGUGUUUAGGUGUUCCCAUGAUUUCUUUAUACUAUGAAUUUUCAUGAAAACUUGUUUUUGACAGAAAAUGAGUUACUGGGAAUUCUUCUCCUCAUUUUGUAGUGCAGUGAGUAUGAGUUUCUUAUUGUACUUCAUAUGAAGAAUAUAUGACCAUGCUUUAUUACGGAGUUGAGAGAUUUCUCCUUGAAUAAAAUGCUUUUUUAGAGUAAAUGACAUAUGAGAUCCAUGAGAGUGUGUUGAGCAUGUUAUGACAAGGAGAAGGUAGUUCCUCCUGGAACAUGACUAUUUCUGAUAAUUUCAUGAAUUAAUGUAGUUCCUAUUUCCUUAUGUCUAUGUUGAGAUGGAGUUGAUGUUCCCUCCAUGCUAGUAUGUUGUAUGCAUGAUGGUUUGAUAAUCUUGAGUCUUUAAUUUAGAGAGGUAUUUAAAAAUGUCAUUCGAGAACGUUUGUUCCCAAAAGGGACAUAACGUAACACCCAGAAAAAUAGUAAGUGAAACUACACCUUCACAUGAUAUUUUCAGAGUUUGAUAUGUGGGUUAAUGUUGUAAAAUUGCUUCCCCGUUCUUAUGAUGAGGUGUUUACGGGUUUAACUUCAAGGUAUGACUCCUCAAGGACCAAUCAAAAAAAUUUCUCUUAUAACAAAAAAUAUUAAGAUUGAAUCAAAGUCAUUAUUUAUCACAAUUAACUUAUUUCAUCACAUCCAUGACUUGUAUCAAGAUAUGUGAAGUCUCAGUACUUUGUGAUGGGUUGGUAAAACUCCAAUUUAUAGGGGUGUAAUCAUGGGAUUUCAUAUUGAUUUAAAUGAUCAAGUAUGUUGCAUUUCACUAUUUUAUUAUUGUUCACUGUAGAUUAAUCUCUUAGCAUGUGAUUAAUAUAAGGGUUAAGGCGAACAACUUAAUCCUACUUUACAUCUAUAAUUAGUUCUUGAAAGAGACCAAUAAGAGUGGGUAACAGGCUCAAUGUUUCCAAUGUAGCUGACUUUAGUUGUAAAAGCAAAUUAAUUGGUUGAUAUGUGAAUCACAUUACGGGACAGGAAGGAGAUUUUACGAAAUAUUACUAUGAGAUCGAAAGAAAAUUAUCAUUACUGAAGAUGACCCAACUUAUCUAUUGCUGGUAUGCUUUGUCGAGCAAUGCAUUUUACACUUCUUUGCAUCAAUACAAUCCCCUACACCCCCACAAUUAUAUUAAAAAUCAAUUGAAAUCUUUUUUGUUUAUCAUAUUACUAAUACUUGAUCUUGAAAUUGCUUAAUUAAAUUUCAUGGAAUAAUCUACCCAAUUGUCUUAUUCGUUCUAAUUUAUUAGUCACAAUUUAAUUUAAUUUUGGAUUCUUAUCCUUACACUCCUUGUGAGAUUUGACCCCACCUCUUAGUUGAGCAUUUUCCAUUGAAAACUAUCGCUCACACUUUAAAUUUGUUGCAGAGAAUAGUUUGAGUAGUAUAAGAUAUUUGCAAUACCUAAAAAAUAAAAUCCCAAUAGGCGCAGUCUAGACAAGUUACCCAAAUUUCCACAAUCAUAGAUACCUCUAUCGAGUGAAUCGCCACAUGAAGGAUGUGGUGAUAUUCCAAAUCUACCUCUGCCAGAUAGAACUACCCCUAGAAAAUUGUAUUGGGGGCAUUUCAAUAAUCUCUAACUGCCACACCCCAACACUCGGUAGGGCGGACAAGUACCAUAUGAACACAUGCUUUAAAAGUAACAUAUGAUGAGAAAAUAAACUACUAUGCAGAUAGAUUCAUUAAUGAGAAGCUUCAUAAACAACACAUGUCGACUAGUUGAACCAAUACAUGUGUCAACUAAAACUAUGAAUACAGAUGAUAGCUUUAAAAGUCUACAAAGACUCUGCUCUAAUCAUGUCACGACCCAACCCGAUGGGCCGUGACUAGUGCCCGUUUUGGAUACCCACAUACAAACCUGCUAAGUAUAACCAACUGAAACUAAGACAAUAUGGAAUUUAAUCAAAUCAAGCCAACCCCAACAUAAUAUAUAUAUAUAAGAGGACCUGUCUCAUAAGGAGUCAUAACCAUUCAACCAUAAAUGCAUACGCGAGCCGACAAUGCCGCCACUAUUCAAAGCAUAAUAACAUACGUAUGCCGACAAGGCUGCCACUACACAAUACACAAUGAUGUACGCAGCCGACAAGGCUGCCCCUGUACAAGCGGACAUCCCAAACAAACCAUGUCCAGACCAUUAUCCAAAACAUAUAUAUACAACCCAUAUAAUGUCCACAGACCUCUAAGAGUACAUUAGUGAAACUCGACGGGACAGGGCCCCGCCAUACCCAUAGACGAGCAAAAGACUACACAAAAGUUAUGUACCAAAACGACUGGGCUCCGGAACAGUGGAGCUCUCCCAAUCAGCAGAGUAGAUAUCCUAGGCGGGAGGAUCACCGAACUGUGCGUCUACACCUGCGGGCAUGAAACGCAGCCCCCUCCCCCCCCCCCCCGAGAAAAGGGGGGUCAGUACGGACAAUGUACUGAGUAUGUAAAGUAUAAGGUAAAGAUGACAGGAUACCAAUAUGGCAAGUCGAAACAAAAUGUCGCUACACAUAUACCCUUUUAAGUGAAAAUCAUGCAUAUAUUUAACAUUUAAGGUGCCCAGCUUCCCUAGUAAGGGGCUCGGCAAAAUAAUCAUCACGUCAUCUCCGUCAUCACCAUCAUCAUAACCAUCCUCAUCACCAAUCAUAUAUAUAAUAUACAUACCCGGCCCUCUAGUGAGGAACUCGGUGACAUAUGCAAGAAACUCCGCACGAACAUUACCCGGCCCGAGACUCGGUGAAAUGAUAAAUGACUCUAUGCACGAGCAGAAUAUUAUGAGCAACCAUAUGCAAUUAAAAUCAUUUCUUAUAACUCAAUAGAACAAUCAACGUGAACCAGCAAGGAGUAUUACCAAAGAUUAAUGUUUUAUCAAGAUUAUGAACCUUUAAUACGAUAUGGAAAUGUAAAAUCUCAAUGACUCUAAGAAGCACUACCAUAGAUAUCAGAGAUCAUCAUAGCCAUAGACAUAGCCUAUAUAUAGAGGAAUAAUUGUGGAAGCAAGAAUAUACGUCACCUAGACGCUCUAGAGGUAAGUAUCAAAUCUGUCUGUUAUUCGCUUAUUUUUAAAAGUCAUGCCAAACAAAGAAAGAAGGGACAGCGUUACAUACCGUAUAAUCGAGACGCACGUCCAAUAUUUACUGCUCAAGCUAUUAAUCUAUAACAAGCAACAAUCGUGCCGCAAUUAGAUAAACAUCGUGCUUUACUUUCUUGUAAGCUAGCUAAUAAUCUAACGAAAAUUCGGCAGCACUUCCCCUAUUUUCCUUACUUCGUCCCAAUCCGACAACAAUCCAAAUUAUCCACAGCAAUACCAAUAACACAUAUAACCCAAAGAAUCAUAUUAAACAGCCCCCUCCCCAAAACAGUUCCGUCUUGGCAACCAUAGCAGCGAAGCAACGACACACCGAGCGAUAACUCGUUUUAUAAUUCGCAACACAUCUACCUUAUCGUAUUCAUCCUUUGGAGUAUAUACUCAUAAUCACAUUCAACAUAUACAUAAUGCCAAAACAGAAUUUUCCUGCAGUUUGCUUUAAUCAAAACAGCCCAAGCACCAACACGACACCACUAAUAAUCCGAUUAUGGUUUCCGUUCAUACUUAGCACAUUCAAUAACUAAAACAAACUUCCUAAGCUACUGGUCACGCCCCCUUCUUAAAAUUAAUGGAUAAUUAACAAGGGUAUUCUAAAGAAUUAACACACCAAACAAGGAGAUUACUAACCAAAUUAUUUGCAGCUGCUGGCCAAGAGUUGCAGGGUUGGUUUCUCCAUUUCCAUGGCUGCCUAAGCAAGUGGUGAAGAAGAAGAUGAUAUGGAGCAAUGCAUUUCACCACUUUAUUUAGCAUGGAGUGGAUUUCUCCACCUCAUUUAAUAGUAUGAAGUGGAGGCAGCCCCCCUCUACACCUGUCCACUAAGGCCAGCCCACAAUCUGAUCCCUUUUUAAUUUUUUUUUUGAGCGGUGGGGCCCACUGGAUUAAAUUAAUCCUAAUCAGCCACCAAUUAUGAGUGGUGGGGCCCAUUGGAUUAAAUCAAUCCAAAUUAGCCACUAAUUAAUCCCUCACUUAAAGUUAAUGGCACUUACAUUAGCCAACUCAUACUUAAUAUCACAUUUGGAAAUAACAUCCUUGCCUAAUAUUUCUUUACGUCUUCUAGAUCACGAUGCGCACUACGUAUAAAAAAAAUACGAGGCAUAACAUCCUUACCCCCUUUGGAACAUUCAUCCUCGAAUGUUAAGUUAGCAUCUUGCAAAAACAAAUUCCAGUGAGGUCUCUCUAAAAGUUAUACCUAUGAACCUGCAUUCCGUAACUUACAGAUGCCUCACAGCUACAUAAUCUCAUUAUCUAUCAAUAUAGUCAAGCUAGAAAUUGAAUUACCUGCAGGUACGGGGAACAAGUAAGGAUACUUAUUCUUCAUUUCGUCUUUCGCUUCCCAAGUCAUCUCCUCCCUAUUGUUAUUUUGCCACAACACUUUGACGGAAGCCACAUCCUUAGUACGUAACCUUCUAACCUGAUGAUCAAGUAUAGCCAUGGGUUUCUCCUCAUAUGACAACUCCUCUGUUACCUGAAUAUCAUCUACAGGGAAUACUCUAGAAGGAUUACCAAUACAUUUACGUAGCAUCAAUACAUGGAAGACUGGAUGUACCGCCUCCAAAUCAGAUGGUAGAUCCAACUUAUAGGCAACAUUGCCUAUCCUACGAACAAUCUGAUAAGGCCUAAUGUAUCUCGGACUGAGCUUCCCCUUCCUGCCGAAUCUCAUCACACCCCUCAUGGGUGAUACCUUCAGGAAUACCCAGUCACCAAUCUGAAACUCCAAAUCUCGAUGCCGAUUAUCUGCAUAUGACUUCUGUCGACUCUGGGCUGCUAAUAAUCUUUCUUGAAUAAGCUUCACCUUGUCAACAGCUUGCUGAAUCACAUCCGGGCCUAUUAACUUAGUCUCGCCAAUAUCAAACCAACCAAUAGGUGAUCUGCACUUCCUCCCAUAUAAGGCCUCGUACGGUGCCAUCUGGAUACUAGAAUGGUAGCUAUUAUUAUAGGCAAACUCAAUGAGCGGCAAGUGGUCAUCCCAGCUACCUUUGAAGUCAAUAAUACAGGCCCGCAACAUAUCUUCUAGUGUCUGAAUAGUACGCUCAGCCUGCCCAUCAGUCUGAGGGUGAAAUGCUGUGCUAAGGUUCACCUGUGUCCCCAAUCCCUUCUGAAACGAUCUCCAAAAGUUGGCUGUAAAUUGAGCUCCUCUGUCUGAUAUAAUGGACGUGGGAACCCCAUGAAGUCUCACUAUCUCCCUGACAUAUAACCUCGCAUAAUCUUCAGCCGAAUAAGUAGUCCUGACUGGAAGAAAAUGGGACGAUUUCGUCAGCCUAUCUACAAUAACCCAUAUAGAGUCAUACUUCCGUUGAGUGCGAGGUAAUCCUGUAAUGAAGUCCAUAUUAAUCAUCUCCCAUUUCCAAGUCGGGAUCUCUAUGUCCUGUAAUAAUCCACCAGGCUUUUGAUGUUCGAUCUUGACUUGUUGACAAUUCGAGCACUGAGCAACAAACUCUGCUAUGUCCUUUUUCAUGCCAUCCCACCAAUAUAAGCAUCUGAGGUCAUGAUUCAUUUUUGUUGACCCUGGGUGAAUAGAAUAACGGGCAGAGUGUGCCUCUCCCAUAACCUGCCAUCGUAGCCCCACAGUAUCGGGUACACAAUCUGCCUUCAUAUCGUAACACUCCGUCAAGUGUAACCUUAAAUGGGGUCUUUUCCUUUUGAAGAGCUGCAUCUCUAUACUGUGCCAGAAUAGGGUCCUUGUAUUGGUGUCUCUUUACCUCAUCUAUGAUUGAGGACUCAGUAACCUCUCGAAUAGAAACUCCACUAUCUUCCAAAUUAGCUAGACGGACUCCAAGACUGGAUAGCCGCUGAAUCUCCCAAACUAUAUCCCUCCUUUCUGGUUGUACAUCUGUCAAGCUAUCCAUGGACUUACGGCUAAGAGCAUCUGCUACAACAUUCGCUUUCCCCGGAUGAUAUAAAAUAUCAACAUCAUAAUCCUUUAGCAACUCUAACCACCGCCUCUGUCGUAAGUUCAGCUCCUUCUGUUUAAAGAUAUAUUGGAGGCUCUUAUGAGAUGUAUAGAUGUCCACAUGGACAGCAUAUAAAUAAUGUCUCCAUAUCUUCAAGGCAUGAACCACGACCGCUAACUCCAGAUCGUGAGUAGGAUAGUUCUUUUCAUGCUUCCUAAGUUGUCGGGAGGCAUAGGCUAUAACUUUGCCAUGCUGCAUCAAUACACAUCCUAGCCCAACACCCGAAGCAUCACAAUAAAUAACAUAGCCGUCAAGUCCCUCCGAAAGAGUUAGGACUGGAGCUGUAGUCAAUUUGUCUUUCAAUAGCUGGAAGCUUUGCUCACAAGCAUCUGUCCACUAGAACUUGGCUGCCUUUUGAGUUAGCCUUGUCAAAGGCGCUGAAAUUGAGGCAAACUUUUCUACGAAUCUCCUGUAAUAUCCUGCUAACCCCAGAAAGUUGCGUACCUCAGUAGGUGUCGUAGGUCUGGGCCAAGUCUUUACUGCCUCAAUCUUCUGCGUGUCUACCCGAAUACCAUUAGCUCCAAUAAUAUUCCCCAAGAAUGCCACUGAAGUCAACCAGAACUCGCACUUAGAAAAUUUAGCAUACAACUUCUGGUGCUGAAGCACCCUAAGUACCGUCCUUAAAUGAUCUGCAUGCUCCUCUUCUGAACGUGAAUAGACCAGAAUAUCGUCUAUAAAUACAAUAACAAACAUAUCAAGGAAUGGUUUAAAUACUCGAUUCAUUAAAUCCAUGAACACUGCUGGAGCAUUAGUCAGCCCAAAAGACAACACUCCAAACUCAUAAUGCCCAUAUCGGGUCCGGAAUGCCGUCUUUGGAAUAUCUGCCUCCCUUACCCGCACCUGAUGAUAACCUGACCGCAAGUCUAUCUUUGAAAAACACUUUGCACCCUGCAACUGGUCAAAUAGAUCGUCAAUCCUUAGGAGGGGAUACCUGUUCUUUAUUGUUACUUUGUUCAACUGCCAUAAUCAAUGCCCAUCCGCAGCGACCCAUCCUUCUUCCUCACAAACAGUACCGGUGCUCCCCAAGGUGACAUACUAGGCCUGAUGAAGCCCUUUUCAAGAAAAUCCCUCAAUUGCUCUUCCAAUUCUUUCAACUCAGCAGGUGCCAUUCUAUAAGGAGGUAUAGAUAUAGGCUGGGUAUCUGGCAGUACAUCUAUAGUAAACUCUAUCUCCCGUUCUGGAGGAAGGCCUGGAAGUUCCUCGAGGAAUACAUCGGGAAAUUCAUUAACUACCGGGACUGAUUGAAGAGUCGGUGCCUCUGCCUUUAUGUCAUGCACCCGAAUCAGAUGGUAAAUAUAGCCUUUUCUAACCAUCUUCCCGGCCUUGAGGUAUGAAAUGAACUUACCUUUCGGCGAUACUGUACUUCCCUUCCACUCUAUAAUCGGUUCUCCUGGAAAUUGAAAUCGAACUAUCUUUCCUCUGCAAUCAACAUUAGCAUAACAAGCAUCCAACCAAUCCAUGCCCAUGAUAAUAUCAAACUCAAUCAUAUUUAACUCUAUUAGAUCUGCUACGGUACAACGACUAUAUAUAACUACUGAACAAUUCCUAUAUACUCGCGUAGCUAUGACAAAAUCUCCUACAGGUGUAGCUACCUCAAAUGGUUCUAUCAACUCAGACUCUAUUCCGAUCCUACUAGCAACAAAGGGAGAUAUAUAUGAUAAGGUGGAACCUGGGUCUAUCAAUGCAUACACACUUCGGGAGAAUAGUGAUAAUAUACCUGUGAUCACAUUAGGUGACGCCUCCUGAUCUUGCCUAUUAGUCAAAGCAUAUAUACGGUUUGAGGGACCGCUAGAACUGGAAGCUCCACCACGUCCUCUACCACGGCCUGCUGGCGCUUGAAUACCCUGCCCCGUAGGGCGCAUUGCCACAGAAGAAGAUGAACCAGCAACGGACCCUGUAGGCUGUGCUAUACCACCUGCACUACCUCUAAGGUGACACUCCCUCAUAGUAUGGCCCUGACGGCCGCAAGAAAAACACGCACCUGUAGCCCAACGACAUUCCCCAGGAUGGGACUUACCACAACGAGAACACUGAGGCAAAGGUGGCCUCGACUGGCUCAAACCCCGGCCCAUCUGUGACCCUGACGCCCUAGAGCUCUGACUAGCUUCCGAAUAUCCCAUACGAUCGAACCCCCUACACAUGAAACGUGGGGGUGCACUCUGUGCUGGCUGGGAAGAAAAUCUAACAUGCUGCUGAGACUGCCCGCUUUGAAACUCGUCAGGAUAACCUGCUGAUCUAGCCCUCUUAUGCUGGCCUCUAUUAUAAUCUCUAUCUGGAUGACGUCCCCGAUGCCGAUCCUCUACCCCCUGUGCAUAUGCCUGCACCCGAGCAAUGUCCAUACCUGGCUGAAGAGUCACUGCCAUACAACCGUCAAUCAGAUAACGAUCCAAUCCCAUCACAUAACGAUGUACCCUCUCUGCCAUAUCAGCCACAAUAGUAGGCGCAUGCCUAGCCAAUGAAUCAAAAUCGAGGCUAUACUCUCGAACGCUCCUGCCAUUUUGCUUCAAAUGCAAGAAUCUAUCGACUCUAGCUCGCUUCAUCUCUGGAGGCAGGAAGUGGCCCUGGAAAGCCUCCACAAAUUCAUCCCAUACCGCUGGAGGAGCACCCUCACCCCUAGAUAACUCCCAAGACUCAUACCAAUUAAUAGCUACAUCCCGCAAAUGAUACGUAGCCAACUCAACAAACUCGGUCUCUGAAGCCUUGAUUAUCCUCAAUGUACGCUGCACCUGACGAAUAAACUCUUGCGGAUCAUCCUGGGGCCUUGACCCAAACGACUCUGGAGGAUUACAACUUAAGAAGUCACGAGCCCUUAAGCUAUCAGAUCUGUCCGCAUGAUCAACUCCUAGUCCAUGCCUGCGAGCCUGAUCUACCACUAAUCUAGUCAGCAAUUGAACCGCAUCUCUCAUGGCCCUAUCCUCCGCCCCUGACUGAGGAGCUGGAGGUUCAGAUGUUGGGGCCUCGGGGGCUGGUGGUGUCCCCCGAACUGGAGCUGCUGCUGCUCUAAGCUCAUCUGGCGGUGGGGGUGUAGCAGAGCUCUCUGACUGGAGCAUCAUACCAGGCAUAGACUGGGCACGGGCCCUAGUAACUCUUCGGGUCUGACUAGUACCUUCUGCUACCGAUUUUCCCUUCUGGGCGGCUGUCGUUUUCUUUGGAGGCAUAGCUGAAAACACACAGAUUUGUUAGAGAGGAAUUAUCCUGUUAAUAUAGCUCUAUCGCACGAUCUAAAAUAAGAAGAAAGAAUGACAUCCUAAAUGUCCUGUAGCUUCUUGUUUAUAGAUGUGGUGCACAACACACCGAUAAACAAGACUCUACUAGACACGGUCUGUAGACACUUCCGAGGAAGAACCACUCUGAUACCACUCUUUGUCACGACCCAACCCGAUGGGCCGUGACUGGGGCCCGUUUCGGACACCCACAUACAAACCUGCUAAGUAUAACCAACUGAAACUAAGACAAUAUGGAAUUUAAUCAAAUCAAGCCAACCCCAACGUCAUAUAUAUAUAAGAGGACCUGUCUCAUAAGGAGUCAUAACCAUUCAACCAUAACAGCAUACGCGAGCCGACAAGGCCGCCACUAUUCAAAGCAUAAUAACAUACGUAUGCCGACAAGGCUGCCACUACACAAUACACAAUGAUGUACGCAGCCGACAAGGCUGCCCCUGUACAAGCGGACAUCCCAAACAAACCAUGUCCAGACCAUUAUCCAAAACACAUAUAUACAACCCACAUAAUGUCCACAGACCUCUAAGAGUACAUUAGUGAAACUCGACGGGACAGGGCCCCGCCAUACCCAUAGACGAGCAAAAGACUACACAAAAGUUAUGUACCAAAACGACUGGGCUCCGGAACAAUGGAGCUCUCCCAAUCAGCAGAGUAGAUAUCCUAGGCGGGAGGAUCACCGAAUUGUGCGUCUACACCUGCGGGCAUGAAACGCAGCCCCCCCCCCCCCCCCCGAGGAAAGGGGGGUCAGUAUGGACAAUGUACUGAGUAUGUAAAGUAUAAGGUAAAGAUGACAGGAUACCAAUAUGGCAAGUCGAAACAAAAUAUCGCUACACAUAUACCCUUUUAAGUGAAAAUCAUGCAUAUAUUUAACAUUUAAGGUGCCCAGCUUCCCUAGUAAGGGGCUCGGCAAAAUAAUCAUCACGUCAUCUCCGUCAUCAUCAUCAUCAUAACCAUCCUCAUCACCAAUCAUAUAUAUAAUAUACAUACCCGGCCCUCUAGUGAGGAACUCGGUGACAUAUGCAAGAAACUCCGCACGAACAUUACCCGGCCCGGGACUCGGUGAAAUGAUAAAUGACUCUAUGCAUGAGAAGAAUAUUAUGAGCAACCAUAUGCAAUUAAAAUCAUUUCUUAUAACUCAAUAGAACAAUCAACGUGAACCAUCAAGGAGUAUUACCAAAGAUUAAUGUUUUAUCAAGAUUAUGAACCUUUAGUACGAUAUGGAAACGUAAAAUCUCAAUUACUCUAAGAAGCACUACCAUACAUAUUAGAGAUCAUCAUAGCCUUAGACAUAGCCUAUAUAUAGAGGAAUAAUUGUGGAAGCAAUAAUAUACGUCACCUAGACGCUCUAGAGGUAAGUAUCAAAUCUGUCUGUUAUUCGCUUAUUUUUAAAAGUCAUGCCAAACAAAGAAAAAAGGGACAGCGUUACAUACCGUAUAAUCGAGCCGUACGUCCAAUAUUUACUGCUCAAGCUAUUAAUCUAUAACAAGCAACAAUCGUGCCGUAAUUAGAUAAACAUCGUGCUUUACUUUCUUGUAAGCUAGCUAAUAAUCUAACGAAAAUUCGGCAGCACUUCCACUAUUUUCCUUACUUCGUCCCAAUCCGACAACAAUCCAAAUUAUCCACAGCAAUACCAAUAACACAUAUAACCCAAAGAAUCAUAUUAAACAGCCCCCUCCCCAAAACAAUUCCAUCUCGGCAACCAUAGCAGCGAAGCAACGAUACACCGAGCGAUAACUCGUUUUAUAAUUCGCAACACAUCUACCUUAUCGUAUUCAUCCUUUGAAGUAUAUACUCAUAAUCACAUUCAACAUAUACAUAAUGCCAAAACAGAAUUUUCCUGCAGUUUGCUUUAAUCAAAACAGCCCAAGCACCAACACGAUACCACUAAUAAUCCGAUUAUGGUUUCCGUUCAUACUUAGCACAUUCAAUAACUAAAUCAAACCUCCUAAGCUACUGGUCACGCCCCCUUCUUAAAAUUAAUGGAUAAUUAACAAGGGUAUUCUAAAGAAUUAACACACCAAACAAGGAGAUUACUAACCAAAUUAUUUGCAGCUGCUGGCCAAGAGUUGCAGGGUUGGUUUCUCCAUUUCCAUGGCUGCCUCAGACAAGUGGUGAAGAAGAAGAUGAUAUGCAGCAAUGCAUUUCACCACUUUAUUUAGCAUGGAGUGGAUUUCUCCACCUCAUUUAAUAGUAUGAAGUGGAGGCAGCCCCCCUCUACACCUGUCCACUAAGGCCAGCCCACAAUCUGAUCCCUUUUUAAUUUUUGCCUUGAGUGGUGGGGCCCACUGGAUUAAAUUAAUCCUAAUCAGCCACCAUGUAUGAGUGGUGGGGCCCAUUGGAUUAAAUCAAUCCAAAUUAGCGACUAAUUAAUCCCUCACUUAAAGUUAAUGGCACUUACAUUAGCCAACUCAUACUUAAUAUCACAUUUGGAAAUAACAUCCUUGCCUAAUAUUUCUUUACGUCUUCUAGAUCACGAUGCGCACUACGUAUAAAAAAAUACGAGGCAUAACAAAUCAAUGAUAGUACGAAUAUGAAAAUGUGCAUAGUAAAGAUACGGAAAGUCCUUGAAUCAACAUGGAGCUCACCAACAACCGCUGAGUAUCAUAUUCUUCAAUUGGGGAAGUCUAUUAAUUGAGUAUUUGUACUUGCAACAUAAAAUACAUUAAUGUAAAUAUGAAUGAAUUUACUAAAUAUGUAUGGAAUAGUACAACAAUUAUGCAAAACGAGAGCUCGAGUGAAACAAAAAACCAAUAGAUACGAAUUAGAGACCACCUUUGCUUAUACUUUUGGGAUCGUGUACGUUACAUUCCUUUCUCUAUUUUUCGUGUGUGAUAAUCUUAAUAUGACAUAUCAUAUAAAUGAACAUCCGAUCAGGGGUAGAAGAGGAUGACCCAUGUUAGGCAUUUUAACCCCUGGGAUGAUGUCCUCAUAAUUCCACAAAUUGGGAUUGACCCAUCCUAGGCUAUCGCCCCUGAGCUGCCACCCUUUUAUACCAAUUGCGAACGGCCCAUGCUAGGCUUUGGCACCUGAGAUGCCACUCUUCUAUAAGAAUUGGGAUCUACCCAUUCUAGGAAUUUACCCCUCGGCUUUCACCCAUAAUUAUACAGAUUGCUUCACAUAGAUUCUUUAAUCAUUGAUGCUGUUGUUUAUCAGUUCAUAACUCUUUUGAAAUUGUUCUUUACAUAACCUUAACUUUUUGAGAUUGUUGUUUUAGUGGUCAUAAUCAUUAUUGAUAUUUAGAACUACUGACCAGUAUUAGAAAACAUAUGAAUAUGGACUUGCGAUAAUACCAAUAAUUUGGGAAGCAAACGUAACACCAACAAAAAACUAAGGAGCUUAUAUGACUCAUUGAGCGUGUUGACAUCUCAAAUUGGAACACAUCAAGUGAAGACAUUUAACAGUCAGCCAAGAAAUUUGAACUCUAUAUCAUAUCAAAUAACUGGCUAACUAUAAUAUAUAAUAAUGUAUACAUGAACGUGGAACCAUGGGAGAAUGUGCGCAUAUUCCAUUUAAAUACUAAUAAAUAUUGCAUGUAAGUACGUAUAAAAAUGUAAAAUAGGUCAAGUGAUGAUUUUGUGAGGUAACAUUAAAGUCAUAACAUAGUGGGAGUAAUAACUAAAAAAAGGGGAACAUAUUAACAUGUGAAAAUAUGACAUUUACGAUGGAAUAGAAAGCAAGAUUGCAUGAUAUGCACAGAUUGUGUAACCAACAUGUAAACAUAUGUACCAUAUCUAAUAUAGGAUCAUUUUGAUUUAUAUAAGGGGAACACAUACCAAGGGUACUUUGAUGAUAAAAUAUGUUUAAACCUCCCAUGUUAAUACUUGGUAAGGUAAGCAAGUACAUUUGCUCAUAAAAUCAUAUUAUUGUACCCACUUUAAUUUUCUAGUAAAAACUACAACUAUAGAUCAGUCACUACUACGGGCACUUAGAAAUCUUACUUUGUAAUACAAGUGUUUUUUUAUUUAUGCCAAAGAAAUAGAAAAUUGAUUAGUCUAUCAUGAUUAAUUUAAUGUUAGAAGCUAAAAAUGUUAAGGCCCUCCAAAAAUAGAAGUUAAACACUUGACGGGAAGUAGGCCCAUACAACCAUUGCACACAUGGUGAACCACCACACCCUUCUUCUACUCAUUAAUACAAGUUCAUACUUCAUUUGACAACAUACCCAAGCUUCCCCCAACAACAAUAUACAUAAGCCAGCAACUAUCAAUUCCCAAAUAUCUUUCAGCGUAAUAGAAGAAUAUUGAAUUCAAGGAUUUAUGACCAUCCAUGAGUUCUUGAAAAAUGUAGACAAAAUUGGAAGUAUCCUUACCUUAGUUUCUUGAAAUUCAUCCGUUAAACUUCUACUUCAACAGCUGAAGAUCUCCUGAGAAUUUUUACUUGAAAAAAUUGAACAAUAUUCAGUAACUUUAAGGCAUUUUAGGGCUGUUGUGUUAAUCCAACAAAGACAAAGAGAGAAACUUAAUAAAUCUUAAAUUUUGUAAGUUAAAAAUGAAGUAAAAGAUUUGAUAUUUACCCCUUUAAAAUGAUGGUGCAUUUGCCCACUUUCUUGGCCAAUUUUGGCCAUAUAUUUUCAAGUAGAUGACCCACCUACUUGGCCUUUUAACUUGGGACUUUUUGACUCCAACACUUGUUGGGCCUUUUUGCCAAUUAUCCCUAUAUUUAUGUCAAUUUGGGCCAUAAUUAAUGAAAGUAGGCAAUCCACCUACUUGAACUUUUAAAUUGGACCUUUUUGGACUUGAAAAUAUUGGGUGUUGGAUUUCCAAUUCCCCUUAUUCUUCUAAUAAAGUUGGACUCGAUUAAUUCAAGUAGGUAAUAAUGUACUUGGCCCAAUAACAUGGUCAAAAGAGUCUUAGUAGGUGAUGCACCUACUUGGUCCUUUAGGAAUGUCAAUAAGUCAAAGUAGGUGAUGCACCUACUUGCCAACUACUAGAUUAGUCAAGUCAAGCAAGCACCUCACAAUUGUAUUCAAUUUCUAGACCUUAAUACCUUUAGCUUAGUUUAAAACUUAUAUACACUAGUUCAAUUUUAAUACGAGACUCUAAUACCACCAUCUAAAGUUCCAAUACUUCCAUCCAUUUCAAAUUAAUCGGGUCCCCUUAAUUGAUACAUAUUGUUCACUUCAAACCUAUUUUAUUGUCACUAGUCGCAUAGGAAAUCGAGUCCAUGACUAUACCAAAAGGUAAUUCAUAAGUGUCAUAUACAUAGAACUAGUACACGUAAAAAAAGGGGUGUUAUAUUCUCCCCCUCCACCCCCAUUAUAAUCAUUUGUCCUAGAAUGAUAGGUGAAGCUGACUGUUUAAUUAACGUUGAAAUACCAUUAGGUGAUUUGUGAGAGUUUCCUUUGUAAACAGAACUAUCAAAAAAUAUAUUGACUUAUCUAAAACACGUCUUGCAUGAUGUCUCAAUAGAUAUGGUUUAUGAAAUCAGAAUAUAACAAAUUAAACCCUUUUCUUGAACAUGUAAUUCACUGAAGAUACACAAAUACAACUCAUGCAAAUAAGGAAUUUAACAAACCUAAACACAAGACAUUCAAUUGACAUAUCAAAUAUACAAAUGUUAGUAGGACUUAUAAUCAUAUAAGGAGAUAACAUGAUCUCAGAUCCUUAUGUUGAUGUUUAGAAUGAGGAGGUGUAUUAUAUCUACCAUCUUCUAUACCCAAGUAUCUUAUGUUACAUUUUAGUCCUUCAACCUUGUGUGCUAGCCUCCAGGCCUUAAAAAUCAAGAAUUACUAUGGUAUCUCCCAAUUUUUAUAUGGAACUGACAUAUAAAAUCAUAGGCCUAAUCUAUUGGGGCUCUACUUUCCCUUCUCUUUUAUCCUAUGAUGCUUUUCAAAGGUGAAUCUUAUAAGAAUGCAUAGCUAUUAAUAAUAUCUCUAAUGUUUUAUGUCUCACCUUCUGAUACAAAAUCAUGAUAAAUUAUUUACCUAUGGUUGUGAUAAAAUUUACCUAUAUGACCAGCCUUUUACGAUCAAACUUUUCACUAAAUAAUGUUACAAGGAAACAUUUUCCCAGGUUAUUCAAAACUCAAGUCAGUAAGCACAGAGGGGAAUACUACACCGAUAAACAAGUCACAUUGGGUAUGACACAUGCCUGCAUACUAUCCCAAAAGGGAGAGCAUGGUACACAAGCAUUAAGCUAUAAAAUAAUGUGGUGUAUACGCACAUAUGAAUUGUAGGGUAGCAUGUGAGUGGAUAAACUAUUGUAAGAAUUGUAGGAAAUUGAAUAGAUGAGCAUAUGAUGCAUGAGUAGAAAAGCUAAUAAAUAUAUAUAUUAUGCAAGCAAGUAGACUAUAUGACAUGUAGACAUAAAAGAAAAUGAACUACCAUAAAAAAUCACAUUGAGCAAUUGUGUUAUAUUGUAUGGAUUAGUGGAAUAAUAUGUCAAUUAAGUACACAUGAUAUAUAACCACAUGAGAAAGGGCUAGAAAGGCUAUAAGGCCUCUAAUGUUUAAGAAAGUAGGAUCCGAGACAUGUAAUAUGUAUAUAUAUAAAUUGGUUAUGAUGCAUAUGAUAUGAAAACAAGUGAUAUGCGAGUCAUAUAAUCCAAGAGCACUAAUUUUUUUUUUACCAUAGCAUAUGAUCUACCACGCAUUACCCACACAAUUUGGAAAACUGCUAUAUGAAAAGUAACCUGUGCAAAAAAUAACAUGUAAGGAAAAGGUCCUACAAAAACAUAUAACAAUAACAAGGUUUCUUUGAAGCAGAUAACAGUUACAUGUAAGCAUUCUACGACAUUAGGUGACAUUUGAGAAAGUGAUCCACAAGGGUAAUAAUAUACAAAUAGAUAAGUUAUAGAACAUGCAUUGUGCAUAACAUUUAACAAGAAAUCUUUGGAAACUACGAAAUAUCCUAUAAAACCACUCUACUAUAUUAAGGGUAAACACACUAUCUUAAGCGCUAAGUCACCGGUGGGAUAGUUCUGCUCAAAUUUCUUACUCACUAUGAAGCACAUACAAUUUAUUUCCCCACAUACGCUCUUCAAUAUCCUAAGAAUUCUUAUAGGUAUUCUGCUAAUGGGAUUUGUUGUUAUGCCUCGUAUUUUUUUAUACGUAGUGCGCAUCGUGACCUAGAAGACGUAAAGAAAUAUUAGGCAAGGAUGUUAUUUCCAAAUGUGAUAUUAAGUAUGAGUUGGCUAAUGUAAGUGCCAUUAACUUUAAGUGAGGGAUUAAUUAGUGGCUAAUUUGGAUUGAUUUAAUCCAAUGGGCCCCACCACUCAUAAUUGGUGGCUGAUUAGGAUUAAUUUAAUCCAGUGGGCCCCACCACUCAAGGCAAAAAUUAAAAAGGGAUCAGAUUGUAGGCUGGCCUUAGUGGACAGGUGUAGAGGAGGGCUGCCUCCACUUCAUACUAUUAAAUGAGGUGGAGAAAUCCACUCCAUGCUAAAUAAAGUGGUGAAAUGCAUUUGCUGCAUAUCAUCUUCUUCUUCACCACUUGUCUUAGGCAUCCAUGGAAAUGGAGAAACCAACCCUGCAACUCUUGGCCAGCAGCUGCAAAUAAUUUGGUUAGUAAUCUCCUUGUUUGGUGUGUUAAUUCUUUAGAAUACCCUUGUUAAUUAUCCAUUAAUUUUAAGAAGGGGGCGUGACCAAUAGCUUAGGAAGUUUGUUUUAGUUAUUGAAUGUGCUAAGUAUGAACGGAAACCAUAAUCGGAUUAUUAGUGGUUUCGUGUUGGUGCUUGGGCUGUUUUGAUUAAAGCAAAUUGCAGGAAAAUUCUGUUUUGGCAUUAUGUAUAUGUUGAAUGUGAUUAUGAGUAUAUACUCCAAAGAAUGAAUACGAUAAGGUAGAUGUGUUGCGAAUUAUAAAAUGAGUUAUCGCUCGGUGUGUCGUUGCUUCGCUGCUAUGGUUGCCGAGACGGAACUGUUUUGGGGAGGGGGCUGUUUAAUAUGAUUCUUUGGGUUUUAUAUGUGUUAUUGGUAUUGCUGUGGAUAAUUUGGAUUGUUGUCGGAUUGGGACGAAGUAAGGAAAAUAGGGGAAGUGCUGCCGAAUUUUCGUUAGAUUAUUAGCUAGCUUACAAGAAAGUAAAGCACGAUGUUUAUCUAAUUGCGGCACGAUUGUUGCUUGUUAUAGAUUAAUAGCUUGAGCAGUAAAUAUUGGACAUGCGGCUCGAUUAUACGAUAUGUAACGAUGUCCCUUCUUUCUCUGUUUGGCAUGACUUUUAAAAAUAAGCGAAUAACGGACAGAUUUGAUACUUACCUCUAGAGCAUCUUGGUGACGUAUAUUCUUGCUUCCACAAUUAUUCCUCUAUAUAUAGGCUAUGUCUAAGGCUAUUAUGAUCUCUAAUAUCUAUGGUAAUGCUUCUUAGAGUCAUUGAGAUUUUACGUUUCCAUAUCGUAUUAAAGGUUCAUAAUCUUGAUAAAACAUUAAUCUUUGGUAAUACUCCUUGCUGGUUCACGUUGAUUGUUCUAUUGAGUUAUAAGAAAUGAUUUUAAUUGCAUAUGGUUGCUCAUAAUAUUCUGCUCGUGCAUAGAGACAUUUAUCAUUUCACCGAGUCCCGGGCCGGGUAAUGUUCGUUUGGAGUUUCUAACAUAUGUCACCGAGUUCUUCACUAAAGGGUCGGGUAUGUAUAUUAUAUAUAUGAUUGGUGAUGAGGAUGGUUAUGAUGAUGAUGAUGACGGAGAUAACGUGAUGAUUAUUUUGCCGAGCCCCUUACUAGGGAAGCUGGGCACCUUAAAUGUUAAAUAUAUGCAUGAUUUUCACUUAAAAGGGUAUAUGUGUAGAGAUAUUUUGUUUCGACUUGCCAUAUUGGUAUCCUGUCAUCUUUAUCUUAUACUUUACAUACUCAGUACAUUGUCCGUACUGACCCCCCCUUUCCUCGGGGGGGGGGGGGCUGCGUUUCAUGCCCACAAGUGUAGACACACAGUUCGGUGAUCCUCCCGCCUAGGAUAUCUACUCUGCUGAUUGGGAGAGCUCUACUGUUCCGGAGCCCAGUCGUUUUGGUACAUAACUUUUGUGUAGUCUUUUGCUCGUCUAUGGGUAUGGUGGGGCCCUGUCCCGUCGAGUUUCACUAAUGUACUCUUAGAGGUCUGUGGACAUUAUGUGGGUUGUAUAUAUAUGUUUUGGAUAAUGGUCUGGACAUAGUUUGUUUGGGAUGUCCGCUUGUACAGGGGCAGCCUUGUAGGCUGCAUACAUCAUUGUGUAUUGUGUAGUGGCAGCCUUGUCGGCAUACGUAUGUUAUUAUGCUUUGAAUAGUGGCGGCCUUGUCGGCUCGCGUAUGCUAUUAUGGUUGAAUGGUUAUGACUCCUUAUGAGACAGGUCCUCUUAUAUAUAUAUAUGACGUUGGGGUUGGCUUGAUUUGAUUAAAUUCCAUAUUGUCUUAGUUUCAGUUGGUUAUACAUAGCAGGUUUGUAUGUGGGUGUCCAAAACGGGCACUAGUCACGGCCCAUCGGGUUGGGUCGUGACAUUUGUCUUCUAUCUAAGUCAAUAAAAAUAAUUCUGUUAAGAUAGAAAAAUAAGAUCCUUAAUAGUUCAUCUGUAGGAGUGGGAGUCCAAAGUCAGCAUUGCCUUCAUUACUAGCUUGUUACAUCACACUCAAUGUCUGGUGCCUCUUGAAAGUCAUAAUAGAAAAUUAAUAGUGAAGCUUGAAAGCACUAUAAAACAAGAACUAUAUUAACAAGUAAAUGGCAGGUACUAUAAAGUCAGGAUUCAUAAAAUCUUAGAGUUAGCCGCUUUGGGCUUAACUAGAUAGGUCUGGUCAUAUUUAUAGAACCUCUUUUUUUUGUAUAAUAAGUGAGGGUUCUCCGACUCAUUUACCAUGCAUAUAGGAAAUAAUAACUACUAGAAUGUGGUCAAUUUUUCCUCUCCCUUCAUUCAAUAGACUAUAAUUGACAAAUUAAUGCACACAUAUAUUAAAUGAAUCUUGUCGUAACUCUAAUCAAUUUCAUUAAUGUAUAUACAUGUGUCUAAUGUUGUACUUCUCUUUUAUACUAAUUACAUGGAUGAACUAGGCCCAUGUAUCUUCUAUAUAGAUAACCUUUCUAUUCAACUCGUUUUCUUGUUGUUAUCAAGACCUAAUAUCAAGGCUUGAACCAAUGCUAAAAUUGACUUCUUUGUGUAACAAAGGUUCAUAAUGUUUUUCCCAGGUGCACCAUAUAGUUUAGGGUUGAAGAAUUGAUACCAUUUUUUUUCCUCAUACACUUGAAAUCACUCUUUCAUAACAACCUAACUCACUCCUCUAGGGCAUCCUCAUAUCACCCCACCCCUAUGUUUAUGAAUUUGACAUAUCCCAUCUCUUUCCAACUAGAAGCUCUACAUACAUUUUCUGCCCGUGUCACUCAAGCUUCAUUCUCACUUGCAUUUUAUCCUUUAAGUGCCUUUUGAUCAAAACUAGUAGCUUCAUGUACUCUAAUUCCACUAUGUACAACCGGACUAAUCACAACUUAGGUCUAACCAAUAAAUUUUCCUUUUGUUAACCUUACCCUUUAGUCACAUCCUAAUCCUCUGAAUAAAAAACGUACAUCCUAAUAGGAACUAACAUACAUAUAUAAUUUUCAAAAAUUACCACACUUAUCCCUAAAUUUUAUAACCAUGAAAAGAAUAUAAAUGUUAUUAGUACUUAUUUAGGGUGGCUGGUGAAAUAUACAAAUAAAACUAUUAACAUAUUCGGGAUGAUAUAUGGUGAGAAUAUAGGCCUUGUCAGCCAAAUAGGGGAAUCACUAGUAACACUAUUGCACUCAUACAUUCACCUAUCAAAUUGUGUCACUGCUUUCUUCCAACCAAAAGAAACUGGUUCAACUACACCACUUUCUAGUACAGGUGGAAUGCCAAUAAUUCAAUGUAUAGCACAAACUAAGAACGAGUGUCCUCUAUAGGAAUAGAUCCUACAAAUAUGGAGGAAAUAUAGAACUCAAGAGUUGGUUAUAUCCUCCUAGAUCUGCCUGGAAAUGAUGUAGCUCAUAUACGUAACUAGGUAACCAAUCAUUUUUUAAGCAUAUACUUUAUCUUUCUCAAUUGAACCAAUGUGGUAGAAAUGGGUACAAAUGCAACUUAAAAUGCAAAUACCAUAAAAACCUUUACAUAUUAUAUGGAGUGGGAUUGUAGAAUAAAAUGAGCCCAAUCUACUCUAAUUUUUAUAACUUAUGAUCCUUUCUGUAUGUUACAUGUUGACACUUUAGCAACGAUUAACCUUAAACAUAGUAAGCAUUAUAUGAAUUAAAUGAUCAAGUGUGAGUGGAAAUUGACUUCUUAACAUUGCUCUCACGAUUUGGAUUAUAAAGAAAAGUAACAAUUCCUAAAUUCCCAAGAAGCCCCUAAUAUAAAUGUGGCGCUCAACACAUUCAUAAGUAAGGCUCUACUAGACAUGGCUUUGUAGAAUCCCUAAGAUCAACUGCUUAAAUAACAUUUUUAUCACACCCCAACCCUAGAUGAAGCGGAAAAGUACCAUAUGAACACAUGCUUUACAAGUGGCUUAUGAUUAGAAAGUAAACUACUAUGCAGAUAGAUUUACUAAUUAGGAGCUUCAUAUACAACACAUGUCGACUAGCUGAACUGAUACCUUUGACAAUUUAAACUAUGAACACACAUAAUAGCUUUACAAUGUAUACAAAGCCUCUACUAGAAGCAAUGACUAUAAGACUAUGAAAAUAAACAUAGUAAAGACUCGACAAAGCCUCAAAUCAACCUGGAGCUCACCAAUAACCAUUGAGUAUCAUGUUCUUCUAUUAGGGAGAACUACUUGUUGAGUACAUGUACCUACAACAUGAAAUGCAGCGUCCCCAAUAAGGGAUGUCAGUACGAAAGAAUGUACUGUAAGGCAUAAUAAAAACAUAUGUAAAAUGAGAACUCAACUUAAACGAAAUACCAAUAGAUAGGGAUUAGAGACAGUCUUUGGUUAUACUUUUGAAUCGUGUAUGUUACAUUCUUCUCUUUACCUUUCUGUUUGUCAUAAUCAUUUUAAGACAUAUGACACAAAUGACCUGCAGAUCAGUGGUAGAAGAAGAUGAACCAUGCUAGGCCUUUUAAACCCUUGGAUGUUUUCCUCAUAAUUCCACAAAUUAGGAUCAACCAAUGCUAGGCUUUUGCCCCUAAGUUAACACCCUUUUAUACAAAUUCAGAUUGUCUCAUGCAAGGCUUUCGUCCCUGAGUUGUCACCAUUCUAUACCAAUUGGGAUUGACCCAUGCUAGGCAUUUGCCUCUGGGCUUCCACCCAUAAUUAUACUGAUUGUUUCACUUAGAUUCUUUUUAAUAGAUUCUUUUUAAUAGUUGAAUUGUUGUUUAUCAGUUCCUAACUCAUUUGAGAUUGUUCGUUCAAUAACCAUAACUCUUUUGAGAUUUUUAUUUUUGUGGGAAUAAUUAUUGUUGAGAUUUAGAGCAUGGACCAGUAGUAGAAGACAUAUGAAUAAGGACUUGGUAAAAUAACAAUGACAUGGGAAGCAAAAGUGACACCAACGAAAUACUUAAGAGCUUAUAUGACUCACUAAGCAUGUUUACAUCUCAAAUUGGAGAAUAUCAAGUGAAGACAAGUAACAUUCAGCGAAGAGAUUUGAACUCUAUAAUCAAGCCAUUUACUCACUAAUUAAUAUCGAAUACAAUGUAUGUAUGAUAAUGAAACCAAGGGAGAACGUGGACAAAUUCAACUGAAGGAUGGAUACAUAUCCCAAAUAAGUACAUAUAAAAAUGUACAAUAGAGUAAGUACACAUUUUGUGGGGUAACAUUAUUGUCUAACAUAGUGGGAAUAAUAAUUAAUAAAGAGAAUAUAAGAACAUGUUAAAAGAUGAUAUUUACCAUAGAAUAGAAAGGUUAAACAAGUUGGUUUGAUAUGGUCAGAUUGUAUAUCCAACAUAUAAAAAUAUUACCAUGUGCAAUCUAGGAUCUUUUUUAGUUAUAUAAGGGGAAUAUAUGUCAAGGGUACAUUGACAAGGAAAUACGUUUACCUUGCAUGCUAUUACUUGGUAGAGUAAGCACGUACAUUUAGUAAUAAAGUCAUAUUAUAGUACUCACUUUAAUGCUCUAGGGAGUAGGAAAGACAAAUAUGGUUCAGUAACUACCAAGAGAACUUAUAAAGCUUACUUUGUAAUACAGGUGUCGGAUUCAUGCCAAUGAAAUAGAAAAUCGAAUCGCCUAACAUACCUUAUUUUCUUACAAAUAUAAAUAUCAUGUUUCAGCUACCCUUUUUGGUGCUAAUCUAUAAUACAAGUCACGAUUAAUAUAAUGUUAGAAGCUAAUCAAAUUUAGGCCCUCCAAAAAUAAGAUCUACACACUUUAAGAAAUGUAGUCCUAUACAACCAUUACACAAGUGGUGAACCACCAUUAUUAAAACUUCAUAUAUCCUUUGCCAAGAUACCCAAGCUGCCCCAAACAACAAUAUAGUAGCCACUAUCAAUCCCAAAAGAUCUUUCAGCAUAACAGGAGAAUAUUGAACUAAAGGAUUUAGGACCAUGGAUAAGUUCUUGACAAAUGUAUACAAAAUUCUCCACCCAAAACCUGUAUUUAUAGAGAGGCAAAAAUGAGAAGUAGCCUUACCUUAAUUUCUAGAAAUUCAUCUAUUAAACUUGUACUUCCAGAAUUGAAUCUCUCCAAAUUUUACUUGAAAAGUGGACAAUAUUAAAGAAACCUAGGUGUUUUAGGGAUAUUGGGUUAAUCCAGGAAAGACCAAGAGAGAAACUUAAUAAAUCUUACAUUUCUAAGUUAAUAAUGAAGCAAAAAAUUUGAUCUUUAUCCCUUUAAAAAGGAGAAGCAAUGCCCACUUUCUUGGACUAUUUUUGGCCAUAUAUUUUCCAGUAGGUGAACCACCUACUAGGCCUUUUAACUUGGACUUCGUGACUUCAAACACUUGUUGGGCCUUGCUGCAAAUUAUCCCUCUAUGCUUGUCAAUUUGAGCCAUAACUAAUGCAAGAAGAUGAUCCACCUACUUGGACUUUUAAAUUGGGCCUUUUUGUACUUGAGAAUAUUGGGCCUUGGCUUUCGAUUUCCCCUUAUUCUGCUAAUCAAUAUGGUCUAGAUUAAUUCAAGUAGGUGGUAAUGUAUUGGUUUUCUGUUUCCCUUUAUUCUGCUAAUCAACUUGGUCUAGAUUAAUUCAAGUAGGUGGUAGUGUAUUUGUCCCAAUAACAUGUUCAAAAGAGUGUUAGUAGGUGAUGCAGCUACUUGGUUCUUUCAGAUGGUCAAUAACUCAAAGUAGGUGAUCCACCUACAUGUUAACUACUAGCAUAGUUAUGUCAAGCAAGAAUCUCAAUAUUUUAAUCCAUUUCUAGACUUUAAUACCUUUAUCUUAACUUAAAACUUACAUACACUAUGUUAAUUUAAACUUUAAACUCAUAAACCACCAUCUCCAGUUUAUUACUUCCAUUGAUUUCAACUUAAUUGGGUCCCAUUAAUAUCUAUAGACAAUUCACUUUAAACUCAUUCUGUAGUCACUAGUCGCAUAUGAACCGAGUUCAUUGCUAUACCACAAAGCAAUUUAUAACUAUCCUAUAAAUAGAACUAGUCUACGUAGAAAAUGGGGUUGUGUUACACUAACAUAGUUGCCUAUCAGCCACAAAACUCGAAGCAAUUACCAAGAGCUACUGGAUGCAAAGGCCCAACUGGAAUAACAUGAAACCCAACACAAGAAGGUCCAAAUUACCAACAUAAGAAUACUCGUAUAAACUCUACCUACUGCACAAUGACCUACCUCACAACUUUAUGGAACCUGAGAUGCCAUCUCAAUUGGACACAUUGGUUGAAAAGAAAGAAGGACCUUUGAAUUGAUACCCACCUCAAAGUUUAAUUAUGUCACUACUAUAUUCAUGGCAAAGACUCUUAGCACAAUCAUUCUAAAUAUCAAGGAAUGAUUGGUCCACAACCCUCACAUGACUCAAAAAAGGAGAAAAAUAUGCUCUGUCUAUAUUCGAUGCUAUGAUGCUAAUAGGAAAGGAAAAUCCAACCGUCUUACCAACCCCUAACUCAACUGCUUAUGUGAAGGGAACAAUAUGAGUUUAUACCCUACUCAAUCUAGAAAUCCCAACACAUAGUCAAAAAUUAACGACGAACCCUACUUGGGACCUAUCAACCCAACUCUUCUCUAAGGAGCACCAACUGCACCAAUAAAACCACCUACCUAAGGUGUACCCUUGGAGAAUCUCGGUCCUCCUAACACUUAAUACCGAGGAACUGACGUAGCCAAUCACCCUACCAUAGUUUGGCCUUCCCCUUAACUCUCUGAAUGAUAAGGAAUGUCUGUGACAUCAAGGUCCAUACCAGAAUAAGGCUUCUUACAAUGAGUUAUGUUCUUGAAAUCUUUCAAAUUGAGUCUUGAUGAGUUCUUCAUAAGUUAUCUUGAAGUUUUCUUAUGGAUUAAGUUUUGAUGUAAGUUUCUACUUGGGUGAAAUUAAAAUGAUCAUAUCUCUUAGAAUAUAAGGAGUUACGUGAGCCAUAACCUAUCCGAUUAAGGGUAAUUGAAUCUACUUUCAAGAAAAUCCUAAAUAAAUUUGCUGACUAAUUAAAGGUUGGAACAAUCAGAUUUUCAUCUUUACUAGUGAAAAUCCUAAUUCUUUGCCAUACAGAUUUCAAGAAAGUAAUUCAAGAAUCUCAAGAAAAGUUUUCUUGAUCAUUUACCUUCAAGCUAGGGCUUCAAGGUUUCUAUUCAAGUUUUUAAUCCAAGGUUCUUAAUAACCUUGUUCUUUCUAUCUAAAACUAUUCCUGAACGUCAUGAUAUUUUUCCUAUCACAAAUUAUGAUCCUUGAAUUCAUGAAUUCAAUUCAAAGAAAGUAAGGAGUUAAGUCAACAAGUUAAGUCAAGUCCAGAUAUAAAAAUUCAAGUCAAGAAGUCGAGACUUAAGUCAAGAUAAGUUCUUAAAGUUUUUCAAAAAGCUUUCACAAACAUUUUAACUUGUCUUAAGGCUUAAGUUACAAAGUUAAGCGAAGUGUUCAGAUUUGACGUUCUUCUUUUCAAAGAAGUAUAAGGGAACUAAGUAUUCCCAAGAACUUUUUUUAAAUGUUUUUCACAUUUAAAUAGGAACGGAAAAUGAGAUUUCCAAAGAGACUUUGAGAAAGUUUUCAGAAAAGAGUAAAUGCUUUCACAAUUAAGCAAGAGGUGAAACAUUGAUUUCCAAGAUAGCCUUUUAGUUAUGUUUAUGAGCAAUUAUCUAAAUCACAGAAAGAAGUAUGUUUUUAAAUAUAAGAACUAGUAUCAUUUUUGGGAGUAGUAUUGAGCACCUAUAUGGAGGAGAGCUCAUAGAACUCACAGCCCCCAUAGACCUUGUAGCCAUCGUGGGUAGAAAAGAAUCAUACUUUUUAGAUGAUUCCUUUAGUGAUUUUUAACUUAGACUAGUGGAUCAACUUAGUGAGUUAGGUCCUAUACCCUGGAAAGGUAUAGAAUGGUCCUUGGCAGCAUGAGGUAAAAUGUUGUAUCAUAACUAUAUCUCUUAAGUGAUGGUUGUUGGUAAGAGAAACUCCCAUAAAAGUAUUUCGUAUUUUUAUAUAAAUCAGAAAUAUUUGUAUUUUCAUAUACAAACAGAGUUUAUAUUGUAUCUUUGCAAACAUAAAAAAUUAUUAUUAUAUUUGUAAAUACACUGUUUAAAAUCAUGUUUCAAAGCUUUUCUUUAUACUACAUUUAUUUAUACUACUUUAUAUUGAAAUCAGUUGAGUUAAGUAAAGGCAGGUAAGUGUUUCUUUCAGACUCUUUUCAAGCCUAUGUUAUGGUAAACAUUUCACUCACAUACUCGUUCAUUCAAUGUACUGAUAUAAGUUGGGAUGCAUCGCAUUAUGAAGAAGAGACAAGGAUUGGCAUCCAACACAUUUUAAUCUAGUGAGCAACUCAGAGUCAUCUGGUGAGCCUCCUUGCCUUCUGGAGGGCUCCCUUUAUUGUAUUCAGUCAUAUUUCAGUUCAUUAGGAUGUCGUGGGGUUUGUCCUAACAUCCAUUUCAAUUUUUAAAGGCUUCAUAGAUAGACAGUCAGAUGUUAUUCCUUUGGGUGUUUUCAUUAUUAUUCAUUUGUUAAGAAAUAGGUUGCCAUUUUUUACCAAGUUGAAUAUUUUAUCUUAAAAUAUUCUCAAUUAUUUAUUAUUCAGUUCAAUUAAGUUCUACGAUCUAUAUAAUUAUGAAUAUUGUCUUUCGUGAGUUAAGCAAGCCAGGACAGGGGUUCCCUUAGGGAUUUCAAUAGUCUUCGAGUGCCAGCCUCCCCCAGUGUAAAGGCUCGGGCGUGACAGUUAAGUUCCAUUUUCAAGCAAGUUAUAGACAUCAAUCCUAAAUUUACUACAUAAAACUAAUCACCCACUCCAAUAAAUCUCUUUAAAAAAGUUUCCUCAGCAAUGAUAACACUGAUAUUGAUCUCCUCCUUGUUGGUGAUAUUGCCCACUAGCACUAUCUUAGGAUGUCGGAGGAUUGAUUCACCAUAAAGGUCCAUGUGGUCUGAUAAUGGACUUGGUGGGGUUAUGCCUAGUUCUCACGAGCUCUCCUAUGGAUUAUCUGUUGGUCCACGUCCUAUGAAGGGUCUCGUGGUCCAACACUGCUGGAAGAGUAACGACUGAAGUACAUGGGCAGAUCAAUAUAGUGGACCCUAUCACAGUCCGUGAACCCUGCUGUGGUUAACUGGUUUAGGUGAAAUUUUUCUACACUUUUCUAAGUCUAGUUUUUGAGGUGUUACAUGUCCUUUAUUGGAGUAGGUAUAUUUCUUGUCUAUCUUCCUACUCGUUGUCUUUUGAGGUUUGCUUUGCUAGCUUCCGCAUUAUACCUGUUUAUUUCGGUCUUAACAAGUUGUUUAAUACUUAUAUAUAUUAUCGUCAUGAUAUUUUACACCAAAAGAUAAUGUAGGGUAAAAGUACCCUAUUAACAAUAAACUCAAGAAUAAUUUUGAUCCUUUUUUCCAUAAGUGUAAUACUAUUAAUGUGUCAAAAUUAAAUGAUUUAAACAUGAUUGAAUUUUUUUCUAUCUUCGAAGUCAUAAUUUAUGGCAUGUGGUCAAACUUACUAGUAUCAUAAUAUACUCGAAUAUUCUUUCCGUUUUAUUAAAUUUUAUUCUUAUAUUAAAAGUUAAAAGUGAAUGUUUAUUUUUAUUUAUUUAUUUUAGUAAUUUAAGAAAAAAAUAGUAUAUAGUAUUAAAAACACCUAUAUUAGAUAUUAAUUAUUAAUUUCAUCUCUAAAUUGUUGACUAACUUAAAAAACAUCAUGUUACUUGACUAUUGGAACUUAAAUAUACCUCUGAUUUUGAAACACGGGUGAAAUACACCCCUACAACAUUUCUCUCGAUUUUUUUUAAGGAGUCUCAUGCUCCGACAAGAGUUUGAGACAAUUUGCUAUGUCAUGCAACAAAUUGGAGGUGUAUCGAAGUUUAGUUAGUCAAGUAGAUAAAUGUUUUUAAGGUUGUCAAUUUUGUGCAGCAUCAAGAAAAAAAAGUUGGCAAUCAAACCUAUAAAUACAUUAAAAUUUUUGUGAUUUUACUUAUUAACUUUAUAAGAGUUCAAUGACAAGGAAUAACUAGAACAUAAUUCUGAUUAUUAAUAUUAGAUACAAAACCAGAAGCAUGUGGUUUGAUACGAUACUGUUCUUACGCAGCAUGAUAGCUGUAAAAGAUUAUCAAACAAUAAUUUAAAGAGUUGUGAUCAUGUUGAUGAUUUUUAUUUCAAAAAUGUUCUAGUAAGUAGUCUUGAUGGUGAAUGAAGUCCCGAUCGAGUUUCCAUGUUCAAGGAUCUUGUGGUGUUUGAUUUAGACCAUAGAUCGAAACACUAAUAUAAUGCACUUUUUAUAUAGUCUAAAUCAAACACCACAAACUCCAUUAAAAAUGGAAAUUCGAUCGAGACUUCACCAUCAAAACCACUCUCUGGAUCAAUUUUUUAACAAUAAAUUACCAACAAGAUCACAACUCUUUAAAUCACUGCUUAAUAAGCUUAUACAACUAUUUUGCUGAGUAAGAAUAGUAUCUAAUAACAAGAUUACAUGAAUUAGACUACGAUUAAAGUGAGAAUUACUUGUCUGGAUGGUCAUCGAAUUUUACGAUAUAUGAUAAUCAUAGUCCCUCGAAGAUUAUAAUUUAUCAUAAGUUAAGUGACCGUCCAAAAAACUAACACUCACUUUAAUCAUAGUUUGAAUCAUGCAAUCUUAUUAUUAUAGGGCUACAUUGUUAGCAAUAUUAUUAUUAUUUCAAAAGAUUUAGUUACUAUGAGCCAAAGUAAACUAUUUGACAUGUGAUAUUUAUUCUACUUUGUCAUCCAACUUGGAGACCAAGCAUUGUCUUACUUGGUGCCAAAGUGUUCCCUUCACUUGGUGACCAAAGUAAGUUAGUUAUUAACAUACUUAGAACCUCUAUAAAAAGAUAAAUAGUUAUUUCACUAAGAGAGAACUAUGUGAGAACAAAUUAGCAAAAAAACAUAAAAGACACUUUUCUUUAAAAUACUUCCCUUCAAUUGUCUUGUUGGUUUUCUAGUAUUUAUAUAUUGUUGAUUCUUGUAUCCUAUAAAUAAUUAUAGAAUAUUUGUUUAGUUUUGAGGAACAUUUUACACUGUUGAAAUAGUUUCUUUGGAUAGUGCCUAGCACGACUCAUGUAUAUAUAAUACUUAAAAUAUUAUAAUUUUUGUAUUAUUAUAUCGAUAUUAUAAUUUUCCCAUCUAUUAUAUUUUUCCAAUAAGUCUAAUAAAUUAUAACAAAGAAUAUAUGUGUUGAUAUGACGACUAAUAAUAUUUAUGAUGGUGCUACCAUAACGACUACAAUUCUAGUCAUGCUAUCAGAAGUUUAUGGUAAAAAAACUACAUAAAUGAGUCAUUAAAAAAAAAGGAAUCAACACUGCAAGCAAACUUAGUACAAGACCAAAGUAGUAAAGCAAACGGUAUGUUAACUAUUCUAAUGGUUACUAGCCUUAUAACCCCAAUUUUAACCAAGUUUACUUGUGGAAAAUUUGGUCAUCAUGUCGCAUAAUUUACGAGGAGGAUAAAAAAAUGACAAAGAAAAGGGUUAUCCUUCAAGGCCAAUUUGGCUGAAGGAGAUGCAUGUCAUGCCCUAGCCUACACCCUAUGGGAGACUGACACUCAGUGAUCAUUGCUGGGCUCGAGCAGACCCUUGGCCUGUCUUACUUACUCAGCAAAAUACCUAAAGCAUUACAAAAAGAAUUCAAAUUUUAACUAACUCAAUUGUCUGGAACUGCAAUAAAAAUGUUUUAAAAAUAAACAUUUAACUUAGAAAAAUUGGCAACUCAAAUCUGGACACAAGUCAAUAAAAAAAAUGAUGAAUGAACUAACAUUUGAGUGACCAUCUAUGAAGCCUCUAAUAAGUGAAUUGGAUGUUGGGAAAGACCCCACAACAUCGUAAUGAACUAAACUAGAAAACAAUGAAAAUUGAUGCUCCGGAGCGCAAGGAGGCUUUAAAAAAACUCUGAACUGCUAGAUCAACGAUGCGCUGGAAUACCGAUCAUAGUUACCUGCAUUAAUAUCAUAAAAUGAUGUAGGCCAAUUGGCAUCAGUUUAUUGUGUGUAAGUAUGUGAGUUGAAAUUCCAACAACAUAGGCUUGAAAGAGAUUCUGAAAUAAACAUUUACUUUGGCUUUUCUCAACUCGUGAAUACUUUCUAACUCAUUUCAAUAUAAGGAAGUCUAAGGACAUGUGCAUUAUCAUAAAAAGUUUUUUAAAACAUGGUUUUCAACUCUGUAUCUAUACAAAGAUAUAAAUACUCUAAGAUGUAUGUAAAAAGAAAAAAAUAAAUUGAUGUCAUUUCAUAAUCAUAAUAAAAGACAUACUAUGCAUCCUCUCAAAAUCUACAUGUGCAAUGCAUAAAUGAAGUCCCAUACCUCCAUUCAUGCUAAGCAGAACCCCUUGAGAAAACAUGCUAUAACUAUUGUGGGAGUUUCUCUAACUUACAACCACCACUUAAGAUCCAUUCUGAUGAUACAAAAAUUUACCUCACGCUGCCAACACAUCCCAUUCUCGGCCAAAGGUUUAUGAUCUUAAUUGCCAAAUGGAUCCACUAGUAUAUUGUGAAAAGGGUUGAUCUAAAAAGUAUGAUCCUUUUUUACCCAUGGGGGAUGGGAGUUAUAUGAACUCUCCCCCAUAUCGUUGGUCAAUACUACUCCAAUAAUAUAGUAGAUGUUAUGUUUUAAAAAAAAUACACUUCUUUUGUUAUUUGAGAUUAUUACUUAAAAACAUAGAGAGCGAUUACUCUUUUCUGAAAAUUAGCCCGAAGGCUCUCUGCAAAUAUCAGAUUUCGUGCUUAUUUGAAUGUGAAAACAUUUUAAAUCUCUCUAGGAAUACAUAGUCCCCAUAUACUUCUUUUAAGAAAAGUACUUCAAAUUGCUUAACUUUGAAACUUAAGACUUAAAACAAGUUAAAACGUUUGUGAAUGACUUUUCAAAAAUUUUAAGAACUUAUCUUGACUUAACUCUUAACUUCUCUUUUACUUUGAUCUUAACUGCUCUUGACUUAACUCUUAAGUGAUCUUAACUUGACUCUUCACUGUUCCUUGAAUUCAUUAUGGAUUCAAACAUUAAGAUUUGUGUUUUGAAGAAUCUCAUGUUGUGUAGGGACAAUUUUUGAUAUCUAAGCAUGAGAAAAGACGGAAAGUCAUGAUUUGAAGGUGAGUCUGUGACGUGGAGGCAUAUUUAAAUUCUCGUUCCAAAAACGCCUUUUAAGGAAGAACAUCUCGCGUCAGCUCUGGGAUGCAGAGAAAAAUUUUCAAUUCUGGGAACAGAUCACACGACGUGCUCCUAUGCUAAUAUUUCACCCAUCGAAAUUUCUUCUCCGUGUUUUCUUCCCCAAUUUAUAAAGCUCGGUUCUUUUUUCUUAAAUCUCUUUUAAAUACAGAUACGCAAGAAAUGUAACUAAGAACCUAACCUAAAAUGACCAUAUAAUGCGACAUAUCGAAUUCAGGAAACUUCUCAACUCAGGCAAUUCAAGAAUAACAUAGGAAUUCAAGUUGUAGGUAUCAAAUCAUCAAUAUUCUAAUACUUGAAGGACGAAUCCGAACUAAAAUAACAUGCAUGGAACAUGGGAGAACUAUCCUUAAGUUAUGAGUGACUCACGUACCUGAUAGGAAUAAUUCCUUAGCGAAAACGCCAACCUUCUUGAUCGAUCUUGAUGAAAACGCGCAGUUUUCCUUCUUUAUUUCUAAUGUCCUUUCUUCUUAGCCCUAGCAUGAAAAUUCUAAUUUUUUAAAACUGAAAAAGUCAGUCUUGACUCAUAUUAAAAUCCUAAAAAUGGAAUAAAAUAAUAGGGUAGUGAAAAGACUAUCUUUAAAAUCAUACAUUUGGACAUUUCCUUAAUCCAACAGCCCAACUUCAAAAAGGCGUAACUCACUCAUGCAUACUUAAAAUUGCAUAAACAAAGGCGACGUUGGAAAGUUUAUUCGAAGAUCUUUCCAACCAUAUUCCACCAUUUCUCUAACUCAUCUUCAGCUAGAAUUUAAGGUCAUUUGAAAAUGGUAAAAAACAUACUUGAACUUAAAAUUUUGCAGUUUUCCUUACACUUUCAAAAAUUAACCAUUUCUAGAUUUUACACUUCCAUCUAGUUCUUUCUAAUUGCAAGAUGCAAUAUCUCCCCCUUGUGAACAUUUGUCCUCAAAUGAGAUUACUCUGACUAUGCUAAGGGUUGUAACAUCUAGUUCAAAUACCCAACAACAAAAUACAAACGAACAAUCAACAUGCUUACUCAUAAUUUUAGGGGUACUAAGAAGAAAAUUAGUACAUUGGUCACAAUAAUUUCUCCAGAUUCAAAGAGAUGUGGAUAUAUUUUCUUCCUAUCUCUUUAUUUUCUAAAGUAGCUUCUCUACAAACUGAUUUCUCCAUAGUACUUUGACUUCAUGCUACUUCCUUUUUUCUCAACUUGCAAAUUUGGCGAUCUAGAAUUCGGAAUUGGGAUCUCCUCAUAAGAAAUACUAUCCUUAAUCUUAAUAUCCUCAGUUGGCAUGAUAAGUGUGGUAUCUCCCAUGCACUUUUUCAACAUGGAGAUGUGAAACACCGAAUUGAUUGACUGUUGCUAACUCUAGUGGUAGCUCUAACUCAUAAGAUACAUUGUCAAUCCUCUUGGAUAUUCUGCAAGGACGAACCUAUUGAGGAUUGAGAUUCCCCUCUUUUCCAAGUCUCUUAACACCCUUUCGUGGGUGAAACAUCCAAGUACUCAAUCAACUACCUCAAAUUCUAACUCCAUUCUCCUAAUAAUAAUGUAGGAUUUUUGACAACUCCCUGUUGUUACCAAUAUCUCUUGAACGAAUUUCAUUUUCUUCAUAUCUUGAUGAAAUAACCCAGGUCCUAUCAAACCUGCUUCACCAACAUUAAACCAUUAAAAAGGCGAUUUGCUUUUCUCCCUUAAAGAUCUUCACAAGUAGCCAUUUUGAUACUAGAAUUGUAAAUAUUGUUGUAAGCAACUCAAUAUGAGAUAGGUGAUCAUCCCAAUCACACAAUCCACCUUGAUAUCACAGAACACUAUCUCCCCCUUGUUCAAAAGCUAAUAAUUUUUGCAUAUGAACACUUGCCUUUAAUUCAAGCAAAAGGGAUCAUGGUCUUGCGUUCCUUUUACUUUUGACACUAAUGAUGAUUUAUCCUCAUCCGUUAGCACUAUUCCUCCUUCUUUUGAACCCAUCAUUCGAACAUCUAAUCGUGUCAGUCUAUAUACCUCUUGUGCUAACUCUUUCAUACCUUCCUCAAAAUGGGUCAUACUACCAUGGAUAAUAUUCUCAAGGCAUCAACAACACAAUUAGUCUUACUUAGAUGGUAAAGAAUACUCAUUCCAUAUUCUUUGAACAAUUAUAACUACUCUAUUUGUUUGAGAUUAUACUCUUUUCUAACUUAAAACAAAUUGAAGUCUAUUGUGAUCGGUGAACACAUCUACAUGAACACCAUAAAGAUAACGAUGUCCUACAGCAGCCAACUCUAAGUUGUGAAUUGGGUAAUUCUUCUCAAGAACUUUCAAUUGCCUGGAGGCAUAAGCUAUAACUUUGCCCUUCUAUAUUAACACACAACCCAAAACAAAUUGUAGAUGCAUCAAAAUACGCCACAAAAACCUUGAUUACCUUUUGGUAAAGUCAAACUUGGCGGUAGUCAACUUCUUUUUCAAUUCCUCAAAACUUUUCUCACAAGUUAUAGACCGUUGAAACAUAACUAUUUUCUAAGUCAAUUUGGUCCAAUAAAACUCUUAUCUAGAAAAUCUUUCAACUGUUCUUUCAAGUCUUUCAACUCUGCUGGUGCAAUUCAAUAUGACGGAAUAUAUAUAGGACGAGUAUCUGGAAGAAAAUCUAUACCAAAGUCUAUCUCUCUCUUAGGUGGGACUCCGCAAAGAUAGUCUUAAAUGACUUUUAGAAACUCUUUUACUAGUGAAAGUGAAACUGACUAGAUAGGAUGUAUCUUAACACUAGAGCCAUUAGCCUGGAAUAAAUGCUAGACACACCCCUUAGAAAUUAACGUCCUUUCCUUAAGGUAUGAAAUGAAUUGACCCUUAGGCACUACUAAACUACUUUUCCACUCUAAGACUAGCUCAUUUGGAAACUGAAACUUUACUACUCGAGUCCUAAAAUCAACCUAGGCAUAGUAGGCAUGAAGCCAAUUCGUACCAAGAAUAACAUCAAAAUCUACCAUGUCGAACUCAAUUAUAUCAUCCAUGGUACUCUUGUGAUUGAUGGAAAUGGGACAAUCACGAUACACUCUCUCUACUAUAAUGGACUCACUAAAGGUUAGGAAAUAUUGAAUGGUUUACUAAGUUUCUAAAGAAUAAUAUUAAAGUUCAUAGCAACAUAUGGACUUACAAAAGAUAAACACUCUCUUGGGUCUGGUAAUGCAUAAACAGUAAAGUAAAAGACUUGAAUCAUACCAGUGAAGACAUCCAGCGAAUCCUCUUGCUCUAAGUGAUUUGAGAUAGCAUACAAGCGGCUGGUUACUCCGCCAAUACCAUUCCCUUGCAUGUUUUUUGACACUUUCGCAUGAAAUGCUAGUCUGACUACACUUGAAAAAACCCUUGGAGCCCUCACGACAAAUACCUGAGUGGGGUCUACCACACCUAGCAUAUGUAGGAGCCAAGUUACCUCCUUGUGGCAUACUACCAUAAGAAUUGGCACGUCUAGCUCUAAAAGGGUUGUGAACUCUUAUCAUUAUGCUCACUUUGUUUCUGGGUAUAGGUGCACUAAUUGUUAUGCCUCGUAUUUUUUUAUACGUAGUGCGCAUCGUGAUCUAGAAGACGUAAAGAAAUAUUAGGCAAGGAUGUUAUUUCCAAAUGUGAUAUUAAGUAUGAGUUGGCUAAUGUAAGUGUCAUUAAAUUUAAGUGAGGGAUUAAUUAGUGGCUAAUUUGGAUUGAUUUAAUCCAAUGGGCCCCACCACUCAAGGCAAAAAUUAAAAAGGGAUCAGAUUGUGGGCUGGUCUUAGUGGACAGGUGUAGAGGGGGGCUGCCUCCACUUCAUACUAUUAAAUGAGGUGGAGAAAUCCACUCCAUGCUAUAUAAAGUGGUGAAAUGCAUUGCUGCAUAUCAUCUUCUUCUUCACCACUUGUCUUAGGCAGCCAUGGAAAUGGAGAAACCAACCCUGCAACUCUUGGCCAGCAGCUGCAAAUAAUUUGGUUAGUGAUCUCCUUGUUUGGUGUGUUAAUUCUUUAGAAUACCAUUGUGAAUUAUCCAUUAAUUUUAAAAAGGGGGCGUGACCAGUAGCUUAGGAAGUUUGUUUUAGUUAUUGAAUGUGCUAAGUAUGAAUGGAAACCAUAAUCGGAUUAUUAGUGGUGUCGUGUUGGUGCUUGGGCUGUUUUGAUUAAAGCAAACUGCAGGAAAAUUCUGUUUUGGCAUUAUGUAUAUGUUGAAUGUGAUUAUGAGUAUAUACUCCAAAGGAUGAAUACGAUAAGGUAGAUGUGUUGCAAAUUAUAAAACGAGUUAUCGCUCGGUGUGUCGUUGUUUCGCUGCUAUAGUUGCCGAGACGGAACUGUUUUGGGGAGGGGGCUGUUUAAUAUGAUUCUUUGGGUUAUAUGUGUUAUUGGUAUUGCUGUGGAUAAUUUGGAUUGUUGUCGGAUUGGGACGAAGUAAGGAAAAUAGGGGAGGUGCUGCCGAAUUUUCGUUAGAUUAUUAGCUAGCUUACAAGAAAGUAAAGCACGAUGUUUAUCUAAUUGCGACACGAUUGUUGCUUUUUAUAGAUUAAUAGCUUGAGCAGUAAAUAUUGGACGUGCGGCUCGAUUAUACGGUAUGUAACGCUGUCCCUUCUUUCUUUGCUUGGCAUGACUUUUAAAAAUAAGCGAAUAACGGACAGAUUUGAUACUUACCUCUAAAGCGUCUAGGCGAUGUAUAUUCUUGCUUCCACAAUUAUUCCUCUAUAUAUCGGCUAUGUCUAAGGCUAUGAUGAUCUCUAAUAUCUAUGGUAAUGCUUCUUAGAGUCAUUGAGAUUUUACGUUUCCAUAUCGUAUUAAAGGUUCAUAAUCUUGAUAAAACAUUAAUCUUUGGUAAUACUCCUUGCUGGUUCACGUUGAUUGUUCUUUUGAGUUAUAAGAAAUGAUUUUAAUUGCAUAUGGUUGCUCAUAAUAUUCUGCUCGUGCAUAGAGUCAUUUAUCAUUUCACCGAGUCCCGGGCCGGGUAAUGUUCGUGCGGAGUUUCUUGCAUAUGUCACCGAGUUCCUCACUAGAGGGCCGGGUAUGUAUAUUAUAUAUAUGAUUGGUGAUGAGGAUGGUUAUGAUGAUGAUGAUAAUGGAGAUGACGUGAUGAUUAUUUUGCCGAGCCCCUUACUAGGGAAGCUGGGCACCUUAAAUGUUAAAUAUAUGCAUGAUUUUCACUUAAAAGGUAUAUGUGUAGCGAUAUUUUGUUUCGACUUGCCAUAUCGGUAUCCUGUCAUCUUUACCUUAUGCUUUACAUACUCAGUACAUUGUCCGUACUGACCCCCCUUUCCUCGGGGGGCUGCGUUUCUUGCCCGCAGGUGUAGACGCGCAGUUCGGUGAUCCUCCUGCCUAGGAUAUCUACUCUGCUGAUUGGGAGAGCUCCACUGUUCCGGAGCCCAAUCAUUUUGGUACAUUACUUUUGUGUAGUCUUUUGCUCGUCUAUGGGUAUGGCGGGGCCCUGUCCCGUCGAGUUUCACUAAUGUACUUUUAGAGGUCUGUGGACAUUAUGUGGGUUGUAUAUAUAUGUUUUGGAUAAUGGUCUGGACAUGGUUUGUUUGGGAUGUCCGCUUGUACAGGGGCAGCCUUGUCGGCUGCGUACAUCAUUGUGUAUUGUGUAGUGGCAGCCUUGUCGACAUACGUAUGUUAUUAUGCUUUGAAUAGUGGCGGCCUUGUCGGCUCGCGUAUGCUGUUAUGGUUGAAUGGUUAUGACUCCUUAUGAGACAGGUCCUCUUAUAUAUAUAUAUAUAUAUGACGUUGGGGUUGGCUUGAUUUGAUUAAAUUCCAUAUUGUCUUAGUUUCAGUUGGUCAUACUUAGCAGGUUUGUAUGUGGGUGUCCAAAACGGGCACUAGUCACGGCCUAUCGGGUUGGGUCGUGACAAAGAGUGGUAUCAGAGCGGUUCUUCCUCGGAAGUGUCUACAGACCGUGUCUAGUAGAGUCUUGUUUAUCGGUGUGUUGUGCACCACAUCUAUAAACAGGAAGCUACAGGACAUUUAGGAUGUCAUUCUUUCUUCUUAUUCUAGAUCGUGCGAUAGAGCUAUAUUAACAGGAUAAUCCCUCUCUAACGAAUCCGUGUGUUUUCAGCUAUGCCUCCAAAGAAAGCGACAGCCGCCCAGAAGGGAAAAUCGGUAGCAGAAGGUACUAGUCAGACCCGGAGAGUUACUAGGGCCCGUGCCCAGUCUAUGCCUUGUAUUAUGCUCCAGUCGGAGAGCUCUGCUACACCCCCACCGCCAGAAGAGCUUAGAGCAGCAGCAGCUCGAGUUCGGGGGACACCACCAGCCCCCGAGGCCCCAACAUCUGAACCUCCAGCUCCUCAGUCAGGGGCGGAGGAUAGGGCCAUGAGAGAUGCGGUUCAAUUGCUGACUAGAUUAGUGGCAGAUCAGGCUCGCAGGCAUGGACUAGGAGUUGAUCAUGCGGACAGAUCUGAUAGCUUAAGGGCUCGUGACUUCUUAAGUUGUAAUCCUCUAGAGUUCUUUGGGUCAAGGCCCCAGGAUGAUCCGCAAGAGUUUAUUCGUCAGAUGCAGCGUACAUUGAGGAUAAUCAAGGCUUCGGAGACCGAGUCUGUUAAGUUGGCUACGUAUCGUUUGCGGGAUGUAGCUAUUAAUUGGUAUGAGUCUUGAGAGUUACCUAGGGGUGAGGGUGCCCCUCCAGCGGUAUGGGAUGAAUUUGUAGAGGCUUUCCGCCACUUCCUGCCUCCAGAGAUGAAGCGAGCUAGAGUCGAUAAAUUCUUGCAUUUGAAGCAAAAUGGCAGGAGCGUUCGAGAGUAUAGCCUCGAGUUUGAUUCAUUGGCUAGGCAUGCGCCUACUAUUGUGGCUGAUAUGACAGACAGGGUACAUCGUUAUGUGAUGGGAUUGGAUCAUUAUCUGAUUGACGAUUGUAUGACAAUGACUCUUCAGCCAGGUAUGGACAUUGCUCGGGUGCAGGCAUAUGCACUGGGGGUAGAGGAUCGGCACCGGGGACGUCAGCCAGAUAGAGAUUAUAAUAGAGGCCAGCAUAAGAGGGCUAGAUCAGCAGGUUAUUCUCACGAGUUUCAAAGCGGGCAGUCUCAGCAGCAUGCUAGAUUUUCUUCCCAGCCAGCACAGAGUGCACCCCCACGUUUCAUGGGUAGGGGGUUCGAUCGUAUGGGAUAUUCAGAACCUGGUCAGAGCUCUAGGGCGUCAGGGUCACAGAUGGGUAGGGGUUUGAGCCAGUCGAGGCCACCUUUGCCUCGGUGUUCUCGUUGUGGUAAGUCCCAUCCUGGGGAAUGUCGUUGGGCUACAUGUGCGUGUUUUUCUUGCGGCCGUCAAGGCCAUACUAUGAGGGAGUGUCACCUUAGAGGUAGUGCAGGUGGUAUGGCACAGCCUACAGGGUCCGUUGCUGGUUCAUCUUCUUCUGUGGCUAUGCGCCCUAUGGGGCAGGGUAUUCAGGCACCAGCAGGCCGUGGUAGAGGACGUGGUGGAGCUUCCAGUUCUAGCGGUCCCUCAAACCGUAUAUAUGCUUUGACUAAUAGGCAAGAUCAGGAGGCGUCACCUAAUGUGAUCACAGGUAUAUUAUCACUAUUCUCCCGAAGUGUGUAUGCAUUGGUAGACCCAGGUUCCACCUUAUCAUAUAUAUCUCCCUUUGUUGCUAGUAGGAUCGGAAUAGAGUCUGAGUUGAUAGAACCAUUUGAGGUAGCUACACCUGUAGGAGAUUUUGUCAUAGUUAUGCGAGUAUAUAGGAAUUGUUCAGUAGCUAUAUAUAGUCGUCAUACCGUAGCAGAUCUAAUAGAGUUAAAUAUGAUUGAGUUUGAUAUUAUCAUGGGCAUGGAUUGGUUGGCUGCUUGUUAUGCUAAUGUUGAUUGCAGAGGAAAGAUAGUUCGAUUUCAAUUUCCAGGGGAACCAAUUAUAGAGUGGAAGGGAAGUACAGUAUCGCCGAAAGGUAAGUUCAUUUCAUACCUCAAGGCCGGGAAAAUGGUUAGAAAAGGCUAUAUUUACCAUCUGAUUUGGGUGCAUGAUAUAAAGGCAGAGGCACCGACUCUUCAAUCAGUCCCGGUAGUUAAUGAAUUUCCUGAUGUAUUCCCCGAGGAACUUUCAGGCCUUCCUCCAGAACGGGAGAUAGAGUUUACUAUAGCUGUACUGCCAGAUACCCAGCCUAUAUCUAUACCUCCAUAUAGAAUGGCACCUGCUGAGUUGAAAGAAUUGAAAGAGCAAUUGAGGGAUUUGCUAGAAAAGGGCUUCAUCAGGUCUAGUACGUCACCUUGGGGAGCACCAGUACUGUUUGUGAGGAAGAAGGAUGGGUCGCUGCGGAUGUGCAUUGAUUAUAGGCAGUUGAACAAAGUAACAAUAAAGAAAAGGUAUCCCCUCCCAAGGAUUGACGAUCUAUUUGACCAGUUACAAGGUGCAAAGUGUUUUUCAAAGAUAGACUUGCGGUCAGGUUAUCAUCAGGUGCGGGUAAGGGAGGCAGAUAUUCCAAAGACAGCAUUCCGGACCCGAUAUGGGCAUUAUGAGUUUAGAGUGCUGUCUUUUGGGCUGACUAAUGCUUCAGCGGUGUUCAUGGAUUUAAUGAAUCGAGUAUUUAAACCAUUCCUUGUUAUUGUAUUUAUAGACGAUAUUCUGGUCUAUUCAUGUUCAGAAGAGGAGCAAGCAGAUCAUUUAAGGACGGUACUUAGGGUGCUUCAGCACCAGAAGUUGUAUGCUAAAUUUUCUAAGUGCGAGUUCUUGUUGACUUCAGUGGCAUUCUUGGGGCAUAUUAUUGGAGCUGAUGGUAUUCGGGUAGACAUGCAGAAGAUUGAGGCAGUAAAGACUUGGCCCAGACCUACGACACCUACUGAGGUACGCAGCUUUUUGGGGUUAGCAGGAUAUUAUAGGAGAUUCGUAGAAAAGUUUGCCUCAAUUUAAGUGCCUUUGACAAGGCUAACUCAAAAGGCAGCCAAGUUCCAGUGGACAGAUGCUUGUGAGCGAAGCUUCCAGCUAUUGAAAGACAAAUUGAAUACAGCUCCAGUCCUAACUCUUCCAGAAGGACCAGACGGCUAUGUUAUUUAUUGUGAUGCUUCGGGUGUUGGGCUAGGAUGUGUAUUGAUGCAGCAUGGCAAAGUUAUAGCCUAUGCCUCCCGACAACUUAGGAAGCAUGAAAAGAACUAUCCUACUCACGAUCUGGAGUUAGCGGUCGUGGUUCAUGCCUUGAAGAUAUGGAGACAUUAUUUAUAUGGUGUCCAUGUGGACAUCUAUACAGAUCAUAAGAGUCUCCAAUAUAUCUUUAAACAGAAGGAGCUGAACUUACGACAGAGGCGGUGGUUAGAGUUGCUAAAGGAUUAUGAUGUUGAUAUUUUAUAUCAUCCAGGGAAAGCUAAUGUUGUAGCAGAUGCUCUUAGCCGUAAGUCCAUGGGUAGCUUGACAGAUGUACAACCAGAAGGGAGGGAUAUGGUUCGGGAGAUUCAGCGGCUAUCCAGCCUUGGAGUUUGUCUAGCUAAUUCGGAAGAUAGUGGAGUUUCUAUUCGAGAGGUUGCUGAGUCCUCAAUCAUAGAUGAGGUAAAAAGACACCAAUACAAGGACCCUAUUCUUGCACAGUAUAGAGAUGCAGCUCUUCAAAAGGAAAAGACCCCAUUUAAGGUUACACCUGAUGGAGUGUUACGAUGUGAAGGCAGAUUGUGUGUACCCGAUACUGCGGGGCUACGACGGCAAGUUAUGGGAGAGGCACACUCUGCCCGUUAUUCUAUUCACCCAGGGUCAACAAAAAUGUAUCAUGACCUCAGAUGCUUAUAUUGGUGGGAUGGCAUGAAAAAGGACAUAGCAGAGUUUGUUGCUCAGUGCCCAAAUUGUCAACAAGUCAAGAUCGAACAUCAAAAGCCUGGUGGAUUAUUACAGGAGAUAGAGAUCCCAACUUGGAAAUGGGAGAUGAUUAAUAUGGACUUCAUUACAGGCUUACCUCGCACUCAAUGAAAGUAUGACUCUAUAUGGGUUAUUGUAGAUAGGCUGACGAAAUCGGCUUAUUUUCUUCCAGUCAGGACUACUUAUUCGGCUGAAGACUAUGCGAGGUUAUAUGUCAGGGAGAUAGUGAGACUUCAUGGGGUUCCCACGUCCAUUAUAUCAGACAGAGGAGCUCAAUUUACAGCCAACUUUUGGAGAUCGUUUCAGAAGGGAUUGGGGACACAGGUGAACCUUAGCACAGCAUUUCACCCUCAGACUGAUGGGCAGGCUGAGCGUACUAUUCAGACACUAGAAGAUAUGUUGCGGGCCUGUAUUAUUGACUUCAAAGGCAGCUGGGAUGACCACUUGCCGCUCAUUGAGUUUGCCUAUAAUAAUAGCUACCAUUCUAGUAUCCAGAUGGAACCGUACGAGGCCUUAUAUGGGAGGAAGUGCAGAUCACCUAUUGGUUGGUUUGAUGUUGGCGAG